ensembl:processed_transcript Gm4117 predicted gene 4117
GUGCAGCUGUCUGGGAGCCCAGGAAGUCACACCCGUCUCGCGCACUGAGCUGAAGCUCCAGCCCACGUGGCGAAUAGCGAACCCCCCGGCGCUGAAGGGAGUGCCUAGCCGGGCCCCUCCUCCAAACCAGGGUACUUGGACUAGAUGGCAGUUCUGUGUUGCAUGGCGUAUUUGAGCAUGACAAGAUGCCAGUGAGGUGUGGAGAAGCAGAGGAAUGAAAAGUGUCCUGUGCAUCCAGAAGACACACUGCCUCUCACUUUUCAUAAUGCUGGAUGGAACUGUGUGGCUAAUACAUAUUCAUAAGUCCAAGGCGAAUGUCUUAGAUAAAUGAACAAACAUCACAGCAUUGCUUGCUGGGCGGCUCGGCUAAUGCUUCAGAAUUAGUAAUGUGUUAUUUACAGAAGUGAAAUAUUUGCUUCCCUUGGCACCUUCUCCUACAUGUAAAUUACUGGCCCAUUUUAAAUUUUUGUGUGUAUUUAACUAUUUUUGGUAGUUAAAUAUGAUCCAGCAAUAUUUUAGUUUUAUAAGAUAUGAAUCUUAAAAAUUUUUAUUUUCUCAAAUGGAAAUCUUCACAUUGCAGAGAUAAUGACUUUGAAGUAGAUUUCCUGCACCACCCCCCAAGGCCCCUUCUUAUAUCCAUGUAUUUACUUGUAUUCCCACCAAUAAGGAGCACUUACCCAUGGGAUGCUAAUACUUUUUAAAACAAAUGGUUCUAUUUUCAGGACUUCACAGGCAAUGAGGCAACCUAUCUGUUAAUUGAGGAGGAGCUGACACUAUUAAAUUUGGUUCUAUAUGGAAGUGAUGAAAUAGAAAAAGCAUUGCUUGUUCUUCUGAAGAAAUUUCUAUUUAUGAAUUAAGGAAGUCAACACUCUUUACUUAGGUGUGGGGCUUUGUAAGAUGGACCCCCAUAAUGCUGGGAUUUUAACUAGCAUGCAUCUGUGCAGGUAAACACUGCUGCUCUAAGUUCAUGAGUGUAACAGUCAUGUUACCCCUAGAACAUGACACUCCUCCCUGUUGUCAAACUCUCACACCUUUUCUGUCUCCUUCCUAUGAUGUUUCCUGCAUACUGAAGGAGGAAUGCCGAUAUAGACAUUGAAUCCAUGAUUGAGCAUUCUUCACCACUUAGUCUGCAACUCUUGGCCAAUUAUAAAUCUGUGUAUUGAUCACCACACACCUCAAAGAGAAUCUUCUCUUGCCGAGGCCAAGAGAAGAUUACCCUUUAAAACAGUUUAAUAAAAACUUUCAGUGACACAGGUUAAUUCAAGAAGAAAUUCCAUGGGAAUUUCAGAGAAAAGAUGGAAAAAUCCAGAAAAUCCAACUGAGAAGCUCAGUAAUGCUUAGGGUUCAAGCCAUAGCUAAUGGGUUUAAUAUCCCAGAAACUGUUUCCUGUAUAAUAAGGCAACAUUAUUCUUUUUCUUUCUUUCUUUGGCUUUUUUUUUUCCUUAUGAAAGUGGACUCUGGUUUAUUUGCUAUCGGGAGCACACAAAAGUCCUUUGAAUGGCCGGUCUGUUCCGUUUCUCUCCAUGUCCCCUUUCUCUCACAGGAGUCUUGCUUUCCCCCUUUCUGGCCCCACACAUACUUUCCUUAAAACAAACAUCCUUGUUUUAAAAGCAAAGAAGACUCUGCUCUCCAUUCUUGUUUGACUUCCCACACAUUGCUGUUAACGAUUCCCCAAACACAGAUGGAAGACAGGCUUGGACUCUUCCACUGUAAACUAUUUCACAAGAUCUCUGCCCUUUAAAUAUUUUGAUUUGUUCUUCUGGAAAGAAACUUUCCCUGUCAGCUCCCCCCCUCCUUCCCUGCUCCCCACGUGCUCACCACCACUAAGAAUUGGGUAUUUGUGAAUGUUACCAUUUUGUUAGUUUCAUCCUUUUAGCGAUACAGGGCUAAAAACAAACACUAAUCUUGCAUUCAAGAUUACUAUGUGCAUCUAGGAUGCACCCAUAGAAAAGAAACAUUAUUACAUUAGUUAAUUAUCAUUCAUAAUUUUCUGUUUUACCAAUGAGCUAAGAAAGGCAUGGCCAACAUUCUCAGUGGACUGGGGAAUUUUGGACUGCACUUUGUCCUUAUUCCUGGAGUUUAAGACCACUGGCUUUUCAUGCCGUCAGAAGUGAUGUAGAUGUAGAGUGUUCCUUUUCAAAGGGAUGGGCUUCACCUUGUCACAACCACUAUUGCCAGCAUGAAAUAUUAAAAAGCUGUUGAGCAUAAUUCCAAAAUAAUCUAAUGCGUUUACUUUGAAAAGGUUUAGUAUAGAACAAAAAGUAUAUGGUUCAGAGAUUACUCAGAAAUGCAAAUGCCUGAGAACUUGCCCUUGGAUCUGCUGUCAUGUCCUUAUCGCAACCAUGAUCUUAACUUUAUCUUAAACCAGAAUCAACUGUAUACUUCUUCUAAUGCCAAUAUUUAUUAUCUCGUGAUUUUUUCAGCAUUGCUACUUGCUUGAAAAACUUGAGGCACCUCUAAUUUAAGAACAUUCAUUGCACCAAAUUGCCUAAUCUGAGAGAAACACAUUUUUUUCUUUCCCUCCCUUCCUCACUCCCUUCCUUUCUUAAAAACACAUGCUUGGAAGUAAAAAUAUAUAUCAUUAAAAUUUCAAACAACUUUGAAGAUUUCAUGUUGAUACAUGAUGCAUACUGUCCUAUACCUUAAAAUUAGAACACAUCUAAGAAUAAAUUUAAACUGAUUUUAAUGUUUCUAAGCUUCUUGUAAUUUAUAGAUGAUAAAGUUCUGGCUAUGUAUAAUACAUAUUUCUCUCUCGAUAUUUAUAUGUAUGUGUGUCAAAGGAACAUAGAAAUAUUUCAUUAACAGUACCACUGAUACUGAGUAGACACACAUACACAUACACCAAACUUAAAAAUCUAUAUCCCAAAAUAUUUCCUGUUAUAUAUUUUUUAAUUUUNNNNNNNNNNNNNNNNNNNNNNNNNNNNNNNNNNNNNNNNNNNNNNNNNNNNNNNNNNNNNNNNNNNNNNNNNNNNNNNNUUGAAUAUGUGUAUCAGAAACAUCAAUUAUAUAUUUAUGUUAUACUAGUAUCUGCAUAUCUAUGUUUAUAAACAGAAAGAUAAAAUAUCAACAAAUGAGGUCUCACGAUAUAUGGAUUCUUAUUCUUCUGUUCUUGACAAGUAUUAUAUGCGCAAACAUGUAUGUGUCCUCAGACAUACAUGUCGUCUACCUAAUACUGUCCUUUACCAAAUUUACUUGUGUUUUUUCUAGGCAUGAGGUAGCAUUGCAUCUCGUUUGAAGUUAGAUGAAGAGAUGUGGCUUACAUGGCCAGUGGAAUGUGAGCAGAUGUAGUGCAUUUCACACACAGGUGGAAGGUCCAAAAGCCACUGUUUAGCUUAUGUCAUUAUCUGCACUAUGGCGACUGUCAAGCACGUAUUGGACUGACAUCUUUGUCAGGGUGGGUUUCUGAUUGGUUAGGAUACACAGACAUUUCUAAUACCCUGAAACAGGCAAGAUUGGCAGGAAAUAAACUUUUGUUGUACAAAAUUGCUGCAAUAUGUGUGGUGGUGGUUAACCCAGCACGAAAAUACAACCCAGCUUGAGUGUUGGCAAACUUCUCCUGUAAAAGGCCAGAGAGUAGGCAUUUUGGCUUUUAUGGCCUACAUAUGGUCUCUAUAAUAUAUUUCCUCAGUCUUUUUUCUUCUCAUAACAAACAAAAUUCAAAAUACAUUCUUAGGGGUACAUACAGCCCAUAUGAAAGUGGACUACAGUCCAGGCUAACCCAGUGGACUAUAGUUUUCUAACUGUCAUCUAAUGACUUCUUGAGAUAAAGACAGGAAAGUGAGGGCCAGGAACCAGGCCCUUGGUUAAGAGCACUUGCUUCCUUUGCACACCCUAGUUUAGUUCAGAGCAUCCACAUCUGGCUACUUACAAAAGCUGUAAUGCCACCUCCAUGGGGUCCCACACCAUUGUCUGAAUGCCACAAGCACCUGAAUGUACAUAGAUAUGGUAACAUGCACAGAGGCAAACACACACACACACACACACACACACACACACACACACACACUGAGACACAGCACGUAGAUAUAUACAUACAAAUAAAAAUAAAUAAAAAAUCAGAAAUGAGGAUGUACCUAUUUAGAAAAAAGAGGACACACUUCUUGUUGCUGUCCAAACCACAGUUAACAUUUCAGUUCAAACAAUUUAUAACAGCAUAUUAAAAAAAAACCUAUGUAGAAAUUCUUCAUUGUCCAUUUCAUUUACUUUAUUUUUACAUAGAAUGUCAAAUUCAAAUGGAGCUCUGUGGUGACAGAGCAUAAAGUUUCUCAAGGUAUUUCCUUGAGCAUGAAGAUGCUACACACAAACAGACAGAUACAAGAUGGAGAGUUGCCUCAACAUAAAAAAUUACUCUACAUGCUACAUCCACAAGCUCAUUUUAGCCUUAUGUCUGUCGAUAUGAAAUGGAAUGCCCACUCCUUGGAGCACACUGCCUUCUUUGCUUUUGUCUUGUUAUUGAGGACCUAGAGUUUGAGGCAUUGCCAACACGGGAGGUCUGUGUCAACUUUUCAUGUUCUCCUAAGUAUCUGUGUUUGGCCUUAUGAUCUGGCUCUAGGUUUGUAAUAUAUCUGGACAGUUUGUUUGGUCAAUCAGGGAUUGCACUGCAUGUGUGAGUGAUGUCAAAUAACCUCUGAGAGCAUAACACUGUCAAAAUUAUCUUGGUGUCAUAAGAAGCACACCCUGGAGAUGGAAGGACUUCCUUGAGUUUUUUUCACCUUUCCAGAUCAGUUGUUUUAUACGACUGAAAAGAAUUGGUAGUAGCAGUUUCUGGAAACUGUCAGGGUUUUAAAAGCAACAAACAGGGCUCAUCAUGGAACUUGUUACCUGUGAUGGACGCCCUGCUCCAGUGGAUUGCUUCCCCUUCGUACACCAUCAUCAUCUUCCCAUGUUGAGCUUUUUAAACUCAAUUUUGGAACUGUACAGUGAGAAUCAAGUGUUUUUCGCUUACAGUUACAUCUGAAGGUUGUAACAAAAUCAAGAAAUGGUCCAUGGGACUACAACCCCAGUCCAUGGAAUGUGCCUCCCACACUCAGGGUGCCUUCCAUCCUAAAUUAAACCUUCCUGAAAACAUCCUUCUGGACACACUGAGGGGUGCGUGCUCUUGAUGAUUUUAAUCCUCUCAAGUUGGUCAGCAAGAUUAAUGAUCACACAUUCCAUGGAGACAAGAAAUAAUGGAGUCUAUCUUAACACCCUAUUACAGCAAUUUUUUCCUACUCUGCAGUAGAGAAAUACUUGCUGAGGAUUCUUUAGUCAAGAAAACAUCAGUGCAGAUGCUUCCUCACUUCAUAUGUAUAUAUUUCAAGAUUUUUACUAAAAGUCUGCUGUUCAACAAAUAACCAUGUCGGAAAAAGUCGUUCUGCAGAACAUCAUGUGGAGAGACAUAUUUGAUGAACACUGGUAGAAAUUGAUCAGCUAAUUUUGAGUGCUUCCUAUGGUUAUGAAAGUUGAUGUUAUAGAUGCACCAAGCCGCAUGUGCAAGACAUCCCACCUCCCAAUGUUGAAACAUCAUGUCAGUAAGUUGUUGAUGUUGCUGUUCUGGUUUUGAGACGGGGCUGCAUGUAGUCCAGGACCUGCUGGACUUACUAUGGAGCUAAGGAUAACUCUUAGUUACUAAUCCUCCUGCCUCCAUUUCUUGAAUCCUGGGACUACAAAGCAUGCAUUACUACACUUAGUUUAAGUGGUAGAACUAAACUAAGCACAGAACUAAACAGAGCACAGAACUCUGUUUUGUACUUAUGAGACAAGGACUCUACUAACUAAACUACACUGUCACUCCCAUGUUACAUAUAUAUUACAGUAUAAUUACAUUAUUCAUCCUUUCUCUUCCCUCCCUUCCUCCCAAACUUCCCAUAUAGCUUAUCCUCCUUUGCCUUCUUUCAAAUCCAUGGCAUCUUUUUAAUUGAUGGCUAUUGUAUGCACUAGCAUGCAAUAAAUUCAUGAAUUUAUGGACUGUGAAAAAUACAAACUGAUUGGGAAUCUUUUCUUCCUCCUAGGGAACAGUAGGCCUAUGUGGCCGUUGUUUUUGGAAUAUUACUCUAGUUUCAGAAGUUUUGGAAAGCUAUGAGUCAUUUAUGCUAUUCACUAAUAUAAUGAAUCUUAGUCUUAUUUAAAUGUUUGUUUUAAUAGUAUUUAAUCAAUGAUUUAAGAAUAAGCUAAAUAGGAAAUUACUAUAGUCUACAUUACUGUAACUUGCUAACAAUCUGAGCUCAUGCCAACAUUAUAAAUUCUAUUGAAUGGUCUAGUUUGAAAAGCUCUGUUCUGGAACUAGUCUAGUCCCAAGAAGAGCACUGGGGAUAAUGGGCUUUUGAGGACAUAGAUUAGAAAUGAGUGGAGCUGUAAGCAACUGUAAAAAAAUAAUAAUAAUUAAUAAUAAUAAUUCAAGGCUGGGUCUGAAAUUGAUGGAUCUGUGGCAUCAUGAGCAAUAAUAAUCAGAACAGCUUGAUGAGUGUACACACAUGCUAAAUGUCUGACAGCUUCUUCAUUCAACAAUGUUCACAGCCGGACAAGAAAGGAUGCACUAUAUCUUUUCUGCAAAAAGGAAGAAAGCUUUAGCGUUGAAGAAACUUGCUCAACAUCACCAUGUUUAUAGCAGGUAGCACCGUGAAGGUAAUAUUCUACUUCAGUGAUGGUUGAUUGAGUCCUGGACUGCAUGGCUGCUGACAAACUGAGCUUAAUAAAGUAUGCAAAUGAAUUUUCAGUAGUUUUAAAGCUAUACUUCAUGUUUCCAGUUUUCAAACAGUUCCAUGAAAAUCAAUUAACUUUUUUAAUUAAAAAAAAAGAUGAUGUACUUACACAGCAUCAGGCAUAAUACUGGUGCAUCACAAAAACACUCUGAUACACUCAUCAAUUCAGUGACGGAAGUACAUAUUACCAUUACUAAUAUAAAAAUGUCAAGCUCAGAGAGGUAAAGAAAGUUGCUUCAGAUACAGAAAGUAUGUGACAAAGAUACAGUAUCAGCAGAAAGUAGCUAUGCAACUUCUGUUCUGAUAUUUUCUUUGAGGAAGAUUGAAUAAUAGUAGGAUUAUGACAAUAACAACAGAUAAUAUCUUAGAUUUUACCCAUGACAAACACUGUUUAAACACCCUUUGUACUUCCAUAAGUGUCGUGUGUGAAAACAUUCUUUUACUACUAUUCUGCAAAUGAAGUAAAUAAGUAUAAAAGGUAUUAAAUAAUUAUCCACCUAAUUGACAGCUAUAAAAAGCCAAUAGUGAAGUAGUCUGCAUUGGACAAAAUCUAAGGUCAUACCACAAUAUUAUAUUUUAAAAAUAAACAAAGACCAAAUGCUUACAAAAGUCAUAAGAUUUGGAAAAACAUUUCCAUAUUCUGGGUACUCUGCCUAAAUCCCAUCUCCAAUUUAGUACUCAAAAGAGGUCAGCAACAUUAUGGGAUGGAUAUACUAUGCCAAAAGUCCUUUAGGGAAACAAAUAUUACCUAGAGUCAGAAAUGCAGAGAAUGGAGCAUACAGCCUCAAAGUUCUCCCGAAAUUGAACACUGAAUAUUUUUCAUCUAGUCAGUAAAAGUCAUAAUCUUAUUGAGAUUUCUCUAAGGUAGUUACAGCCUUUAUAAAAUGGUGGGAUUUAUUUAAAACGUGUGUGCACUCAGCCAUAAAAAUAAAGUGGAGAACAAUGCAAAUCAAAUUGUAUAAUUUGUUCAAAUGCAUGUCUCUUUGGUCACACCUUCUUAAUGAAUAGAAGCAGACAAGCAAGGCAGCUAAUAAGUUAUUUUAAUAGGGUGAUGUAACGGUGUGUGAACUGUUACCUCCUGGGAGAGUGACUGACAGAUUACUGGUCUCAUUACUGUGUAGAUUAGUCUCAGGAAUUCAUUAGUGCCCAGUGUGGCAGCUCUGCUCAGUGCCCUUAAUUUGAAGAAAGAGACAGGAGGCCGGUGUGCCCAUGCAACUCCAAAGGCGGAUGAUCUGGAGUUGAAGGCUUUUAGAGCAAAGGACUCUCCUGAGAAGAUGGCAAUUAUUCAUGGUUUUUUUUUUUUUUUCAAGCCAGUGGUGACAGCUCUCUUUCCUUUAGUCUGUAUCAGUACAUUAAAAAAAAAAAAUUGCUACAGGCAACUGGAUUUCAUGUUACCUUGGAAGAAAGAGAGCUAAUGCAGAGUAUUUCAAAGGUAUUAUCUGUAUGGCUGAGCUUAAGUAUAAACAAUUUGACUUUACAGAAGGAUGAAGGCAAACAGAAAUAGCAUGGAAAAGUGUAAUUUAUCAGUAACUCUAGCAUUUAAUUUUUAUGUAAUAGGUUUGCCCCCCAUCGCCAAAGCUUUGUAUUGAUUGAUUUUAAAAUCUUUUAUAUGGUAUUUCUACCACAGGUAGGAAAACCAUUUCUCUGAAGACGCUUUAUAACAAACAACAAUAUUCUAAUCGUUGGGACAGGAAACAGAAUCCUCAAAACAUUGCUCACAUUCUAUUAAAAAGAAACUUUCCAACUUUGACUCUAGCUCUUAGAAAUAAAUUCAUAUUACAAGCAACAAUACCCAUGUAGGAUUUUAUAUCUGAAACCAAAUGUUGCCNNNNNNNNNNNNNNNNNNNNNNNNNNNNNNNNNNNNNNNNNNNNNNNNNNNNNNNNNNNNNNNNNNNNNNNNNUGUUCAAACUGUUGAAUCUAUUUUAAAAUUAGUUUCAAUUUUAUUUUACCAUUAUCAAUAAUACAGGAUAUGUACAUUGAAAAACUACAGAAUAACCAUCUCAGGGGAAAUUUUUUUCAUGUUAAGUUUUGUAAGAAAAAUUACUGUGUACUUACACAGCAUCAGGCAUAAUAUUGGUCCUUCACAAAAACACUCUGACACACUCAUCAAUCCAGUGAUGGAAGUACAUAUUACUAUUUCCAUUACUAAUAUAAAAACAUCAAGCUCAGAGAGGUAAAGAAAGUUGCUUCAGAUACAGAAAGUAUGUGACAGAGAUACAGUAUCAGCAGAAAGUAGCCAUGCAAUAAAUAUUGUUUGAACAAAUAGUGCAUUAUUUGCACACACAAUCUUGGCUGCAAAGGUGGUUUAAUUUUGUUAAUAACAGUGACUUCUCCCAGCAAUAACUGCAGAACAGAAGACACAGGCAGGCUGGUUAUCAACAUUCGCUCCUGGGAUCUAGUGAGAGCAUCCGUGUGCCCUCUCUCAAUCAUCCUAUAGACACAGGGCCACUCACACUAUGGUUGUGGGCUCUGGAUAUACUAUCUGAGCUCAUAGGUUGCCUUCUAUUCUUAUUAACUGCAUAUAAAGCUUGAUUAAAAUUUCUGUGCAUAUUGUUUAAAUCUCUUAUAUCAGUAAAUAAUAUAUAAUAUAGAUGUGUUUGGAAGAUUACAAAUUUUAGCAAUUUAGAACAAUUUCUGACAUCUGGCACACAGUCAAUCAUUGUCAGCCAUUAGCACAGUUAUACUGAGCAUGUUUAUGACUCUAUUCGGCUGGUUCUUCUUCAAGAGACUGGAACAGUGACUUCAAACUCUUACGUAUUUUGUAGUUGGGAACCCAGGCUUCUUUUUCUUUGGCUUUACUUUUAAGAAUUCAAAUUCUCAAGAUGGUAUUCUCUUUGUUUUUAAGAGAACCUGCCAUUGACCUCCUCUCAGACUUACAAAGAAAUAGGUCCCUAACUCUCCCUCACAAGGGAGUACCUGAAGAUCAGCCCUGGAUAUGGCUGUGUUGCUAUCUUUGCAGCUGAAUGGCAGUUUACAGCACUCAAGUCUGAGUCUCACUUUAUUAGUGUCCAAGGGUAACCACUCUAGCACAUCUUUCAGAAGAUGUUGAGUUAGAACAAUAAGGUCAAGAGCAGAUGAGUCAGCUUGGUUGUAUAGAUUGAGUGACUUAAAGCAAGCUAGAGUGGGACGUUCACAAAGAUUUUCUAUAGAAACAUACUCUUGUUGUUUUCCUUUUCAACUCUCCUGGCAAUUGUUGGUGAUAAAUGGAUGCUCGGAGGUUAUCUUUGACUUUUCUUUCUCAUUGGAUACUCCAUCAUGAUGUCAGCCAGUCUCUUUCAUGAAGGUAGGUAUGUAGUUAUUGGCCAGAGUUUAUCAGUUCUAUUUCUAUUCAUCUCAAACCCUGUUAACAGUCUAUGUGUUCUUAAAAGGAACAAAUAAGGUAUGGCCAGAAAUUAAGCAUGAGCCUAAAAGUAGCAGAGUAACAGCAAAGAAGUUGCCAGUACUGGGAUGACCACCAAAAUUGACUUGCCUGCUCUGCAUUGCCCCUGUGCUCACAGAGCAAAAGGAAGUCAUGUGUCCUUGCUUCGGAAAGCUGGGGUACAAAUCAAUAUCUGCUUGUUUUUAUUAUAAGCUAAAACAUUAAUGCCUAUAUUUACUUAUUAUUUAAUUGCAUUUAGUUAUCAAUUAAUGAGUAUCACAUAAUAAUUAAAAAUUUGUGUCAAAAUAUGACUUCAAUGACAAGUAAAAAUUGUUUUUACCAGCACAAGAUGACAAUGCAAUAUUUUUCAUUUUGUUGGUAUAUUAGUCAGGAUUCUCUAGAGAGACAAAACACACACACACACACACACACACACACGAUAUGUUAGAAUGUCUUAUACUGUGUGGCCCACCUAGUCAAGCAAUGGCUGUCUAGCAAUGGAAUGUCCAAGAAUCCAGGAGUUAGUUGACCAGUCCAUGAGUCUGAAUGUCUCACCUGGUCUGCAAUAUAUGCCAUAAUCUCAAAGUAGAUUUUAUUGCCAAUGAAGGAAUGGAGUUGAUCAUGAUAGUGAGAGUUAACAGGCAUGGAGAGCAAUCUUUCUUUGCCCAUGCCCUUUAUAUAGGCUGUCAGAAGAAAGUGGCUCUUUCCACUUAGAAAGAUCUGGAUCCAGAUUAGAAGUGAGUCUCCCCACUUCAAAUCAUUUAACUAAAGAGGUAUACCCAGACAUUUUGGUUUUAGUUAAUUUCUAUUGUAGUUGACAACCAAGAGCAGCUGUUACAAGUUCAGCCCUUGUCAACUUGAUACACAAUCAUAUUUUCUUACAUUAUGCCUAAUUUCCAAAUGAAAACAAUAACCAGAUCAUAAUUAUAUCUAAUACGGUGUAACUGGCCCUUGUAUAACAGCAAACAUGAUUAUGGACCUCUGUUCUGUCCUCUGUUGAAACAUGGUGGCACAUUCUUACUCCAAUUGUAGCACUGUAAAAAUAGAGACAGGCAGACACCGAGGUGUGCUGGCGUCAGCCUGCUCUAUUAAGUGAGCCUCAGCUCCCACCAGAGAUUUUCUCAAAGAACAUGGUGAGGGGGGAAAAGUGGACAGCCUUUGAAGGACACCAGAGAUUGAUCUCUGGCCCUGACCUACACCUGACCUACAAACACACAUACACACAAACACACACACGCUCGCAUACACACACAUGCACCCAUGCACAAGCAUGUACAUAUAUGUUCACAAAGCCUCACACACGCUUAUAAAUGCUCACACACUCAUUCAUGUAUAUUCAGAUAGACAACCAUGCAUGUACACACACAUGCAUACACACACAUACAUGUACACAGAUAACUUAUGCAUACACACAGGCAUACACACUUGUAGGCACAUGCACAAACCUAGUGAAUGAAUAUCUUUUACUACUAUGUAUCUUUAGAAAUAAAGUCUUAACUUCAGUGUAUAAAAAAAUUUUAAGUUGCUCAGAUCCUAUUUGUUUUGUGUAAUUUUUGUGCAUGUGAUACAACACAGUAUUUAUAUCUUCACAGGAGUUAUAUAUUAUGAACAUCUUACUUAACUCUAUUUACUGACAAUGUAUCAUACAAUGUUCUAGGCAGUGGGAAACAGCAAAUCUUUUUUAAAAAAACUGAUUCAUGCUUAACAAUCAGUAAAUUCUGUAAAACUAUGAAUGUCUAAUGUUUUUAGACUGUACAGAAGAACAACUAGAAUUAUACUCUCUGAAGUUGCAUAUAGGAUAUUUCAUUAUAACUCUAAGUAAUUGGUGUUAUUUUAAGUUUAUUUUGAUACUUUUCUAAAAAUGAAAAAUGACACCGCUGUUUGUGGGUUAGUAGCUGGUGGGAAUUCUUUUUACAGCUGCCUGUGUCAUUUGUCUUAAUCAGACAGCAAAUAAGCCUCCAUUUCUUCAGGACAUUAAGAUCACUGUGUGUCAUUUCUAUUCUGGCCCCUGGAAUUUCAAAAAAUAUAGCUUAAGCUCUAUGUUUUUCCAUCCAUGUGGAAAAAUAUGCAGAAUUGCUAAAUUCUAUGUUUCAAUUCAAGUACUUAAAACAAUACGUUUAAAAAAAAAAGCUGGUAUAACUUCACAGAAAGCGAGGUUAUGUUAUUUGUGUGUUUUAGCAGAGAAAUGUAAAAUGUGUGAAAGUUCUGUAACAUAGAAGCAACUAGUGUUCACCCUUAAGCAUAUUGCUGACCUCUCUGAGGCUGUAGUGUUGCUCUGCCAAGUACAUAUAUGAAUAAUCAGUAUGUAUUAUAAGUGUAUACACACAUACAUAUGUAUGUAAGAAAAGAAAUGGUGUUUAUUGAAAAAGUAGUUAUCUUUUUAAAGCUUAUGUGCAUGGCUUACAAAAAUUAGUGAAAGAUCAAAGUCUACCCAGAAUGAUAUCAUAACAAGGUAGUAUGAAAUCAGAUCAUGUGACAAGCUGAAUAUUUACACAAGGGGGUCAGAAAGCAGCUGGCUCUAUGUAAACUAAAGAAAUCCAACAAACAUUCUAAGACAGCUCUCAUUUUUUUUAUGAUUUUUUAAAUUUUCAAUACAGGGUUUCUCUGUAUAGCCCCGGCUGUCCUGGAACUCAUUCUGUAGACCAGGCUGGCCUCGAACUUAGAAAUCCGCCUGCCUCUGCCUCCUAAGUGCUUGGAUUAAAGGCGUGCGCCACCUCUGCCAUGGUUUGGUUUUUUUGUUUUGUUUUGUUUUGUUUUGUUUUGUUUUGUUUUGUUUUGUAGUUCUCAUUCUUGAUCUGCAAUGGACAUAGCAUCAAGCAUCAUUUUUAAGUAAUGUACUAUCAUUUUUACAAAUUUUACAAAUUACAGAUAUUACAAAUAUUUUCUAAAACACAAGAUCCUAAUUUGGGUGUGUGUGUGUUCCCUAAAAAUAACAAUUUUUGUUAUCCUGCAUAAAAUUAAAAAUAUGUUUAUUUCAUCUUUGUGACUUAUUUUCUUGAAAAUUUCAUUUUAAAUUCAGUAUAAACAACUUAUCUCUAUUAUUUAGAGGAAACAGUUUUACAUUUAAUAAAAACAACAUUGGGCUAUUUAUACAUGUUUUAUUUUUAGUCUGAGGAUCCGAGCAAUUUUUACUUUCUUAGCCAUUGAAAUCAAGACUCUUUUGCUGAACAUAUGACACACUUUGGUCAUGGGCUUUAGAUAAACCUAGCAGGAACUGACUUGGAAGUCUUUUCCAUGGCCACCUCCAUAGUAUAGAAAAGAUGCUGUGCCUGCUGCCAAAAGAAAAUUAAUCAGAUCCUUCCCAGCUGUAAGAUUUUGAACCGAAACAAUAUAUCCUCCCAAAAUACAGUAGUGACACUUACAUUUUUGGUAGGCAACAGAGGUAUAAUUUGACUUUUUUUUAAUUAGGUACUUUCUUCAUUAACAUCUCCAGUGCUAUCCCAAAAGUCCCCCACACCCUCCCGUCCCACUCCCCCCACCCCCACCCCACUCCCACUUCCCGGUCCUGGCGUUCCCCUGCAAUGAGGCAUAUAAAGUCUGCACAACCAAUGGGCUCUGUUUCCACUGAUAGUCGACCAGGCCAUCCUCUGAUACAUAUGCAGCUAGAGACACGAGCUCCGGGGGGCACUGGUUAGUUCAUAUUGUUGUUCCACCCAUAGGGUUGCAGAUCCCCUCAGCUCCUUGGGUACUCUCUCUAGCUCCUCCAUUGAAGGCCCUGUAAUCCAUCCAAUAGCUGACUGUGAGCAUCCACUUCUCUGUUUGCCAGUCUCAGCAUAGUCUCACAAGAGACAGCUAUAUCAGGGUCCUUUCAGCAAAAUUCCACUAGGGUAUGCAAUGGUGUCAGCGUUUGGAGGCUGAUAGCGGGAUGGAUCCCCAGAUAUGGCAGUCUCUAGACAGUCCACCCCUUCGUCUCAGCUCCAAACUUCCUCUCUGCAACUCCCUCCAUGGGCGUUCUGCUCCCAAUUCUAAGAAGGGGCAAAGCAUCCACACCCUGGUCUUCAUUCCUCCUGAGUUUCAUGUGCUUCGCACAUUAUAUCCUAUAUCUUGGGUAUUCUAAGUUUCUGAGCUAACAUCCACUUAUCAGUGAGUACAUAUCAUGUGAGUUCUUUUGUGAUUGGGUUACCUCACUCAGGAUGAUNNNNNNNNNNNNNNNNNNNNNNNNNNNNNNNNNNNNNNNNNNNNNGAAUGCUUUUUCCGCAUCUAACGAGAUGAUCAUGUGGUUUUUGUCUUUGAGUUUGUUUAUAUAAUGGAUUACAUUGAUGGAUUUUCGUAUGUUAAACCAUCCCUGCAUCCCUGGAAUGAAACCUACUUGAUUAGAAUGGAUGAUUGUUUUGAUGUGUUCUUGGAUUUGGUUAGCGAGAAUUUUAUUGAGUAUUUUUGCAUCAAUAUUCAAGAGGGAAAUUGGUCUGAAGUUCCCUAUCUUUGUUGGGUCUUUCUGUGGUUUAGGUAUCAGAGUAAUUGUGGCGUCAUAGAAUGAGUUGGGUAGAGUACCUUCUACUUCUAUUUUGUGUUGGGGUGCCCAGGACUGGGUGAGGUGGGAGUGCUGGGUUCUGAUGAUGGUGAGUGGUCUUGCUUUCUGUUAGUAAGAUUCUUAAGUUUGCCUUUCGCCAUCUGGUACUCUCCGGAGCUAGUUGUUAUAGUUGUCUCUGGUUAGAGCUUGUUCUUCUUGUGAUUCAGUUAGCCUCUAUCAGCAGACCUGGUAGCCUAGCUCUGUCCUGAGUUUCAGUGGUCUGAGCACUCUCUGCAGGCAAGAUCUUCUCUUGCAGGGAAGGUGCACAGAUAUCUGGAGUUCAGACCUGCCUCCUGGCAGAAGAUGAAGGCUUGAAACAGGGCCUGUUAGCUUCUGUAGUCCACACCCUUACCUGCUCAGACUAGUCUUGGAGGGAUCAAGGAACCAAGAUGGCUUCCCUAGGUGCUCUGGCAAAGCCCUCCUGGGCAGGGAGGUCACCUGUCCUCUGGCAGGGAAGGUGCCGGAUGUCUGGAGCCUGAAAUGGGGUUUGCUUCAGAAGCUGUCCUCUAGGGACCUUGGGGGUGUCCUCUGACUCCUAGCCCAGGUAACCUGGUGCUGGCGCUGACUAGAAGGGACUUGUGACCCUGGUCAGGCCGGGUUUACUGCUUCCCUAAUGCUGUCUCAGGUCCCUCGAGAUUGGAAUGGAACAGAAGUUGCGUUCCACUCACUGGUGGUCCUAAGAUCACGUGGAGUCAGAUCUUUUUAUGGAUGGUUGUGAGCCACCAUGUGGUUGCUGGGAUUUGAACUCCGAACCUUAGGAAGAGCAGUCAGGUGCUUUUACCCACUGAGCCAUCUCCCCAGCCUGAGAGUCCUCAAAGGACCUUGGGGGUGUCUGCCAACUCCGCGCCCAAGGUGACCCAGUGCUGGCGUCGACCAGAAGGGACUCGUGACCCUGGUCAGGCCGGGUUUUCUGCUUCUCUAAUGCUGGUCCCACACGAUUGGAAUGGAACAGAAAGAUGUGUUCCACUCACCGGUGGUCCUAAGAUCACAUGAAGAGUCCUCUUUGGACCUUGGGGGUGUCCGCCGACUCCACGCCCAAGGUGACCCGGUGCUGGCCCCGACUGGAAGGGACUUGUCGGUAUAAUUUGAUUUAAGGUGCAUUUAAUAGGAAUCUGUGACUGGUACUGUAAAUCUAUUGAACUAUCCAUGGCUGGUGAGGUCACAGAACCUCAUGAAGAAACUACUAUUAUUCUAAAGCAGCAUAAUUUCUAGCUCGAGUAUAAACAUAUUUUCUUAUGCUCACAGGUAAGUAUAGACUUCACACCUCAUCAAAGCAGCUUCUUUUUUGCAGUGUGUGUCGUAUGGAGACUCUACCAUGGAAACCCACAAGUGGUUACAAUGCUGAGAACUACUGACUAACUGUAGGUUGUCCGUCCCCAGAUGAUACAUCUACAGCACAACCCUUGCACCUAAGGUUCAUUAGGAAAGACAGUAGAAAAAUGUAUGAGCCAGAGGGCCAGACAUUUACUGCAAGAUAGCAUCUGCGAAAGGUGAACUGCUACCAUGAAAUCACAACUGUAGGGCAACAAGACCUGUAAAGUGGUUGACAUGACUCCGUAGAUGGGGCAACUCUUCUCCUAGAUAAGAAGCUAGAGGCAGUUAAUCGCAAGCAAAGACCAGCAGACAUGUCUUCUCUAUGGACAAGGCUCCUGAUUGGUCGUCUAAUUUCAAGUGGUCAGCUCUAAACAUACAUAAUAGGAACAAUGCUAAUGAACCCAGGAGAGAGAGGGGUGGAGGGGUGAAAGGGGAGGGGGGAGGCAGAGUCAAGGGAGAGGGAGAAUGUAUGUGUGUGUGUGUUUAUCUGUAAUAAAAAUGAUUAAAGAUGAAAUCAUAAGUUUUACAGGAAGUGGAGGGAACACAGAGUUGGCUGGGGAAGAGAUGAAUGAAAUAAUGUAAAUACAGUACUGAGGUAAGAAAUUCAUAUAUAUAUAUUAUGAANNNNNNNNNNNNNNNNNNGAUAGAUAGAUAGAUAUGACACUCUCAAAUAGAAAUUUCCCAAUUCAUAUGCUAACGGACUGCCUAUACCAUUUAGUUCUUUUUCUCAAGAUGAGAAGCAGCAGCAACAGCAGCCCACAAUGGUGUAAGAACCACAUAAGGUUGCCUUUAAUUUCUUAGAAGAAAUGCAAUUGCUUCUUUAUCACAUACAACUUUCCAGAGUCUUGCUCAUUCAUAUACAGUAAACUCCAGUGGUUUUUUUUUCUUUUUUUCUUCAUUUUUUUUAAUUGUUAAAAAAUUCAUAGUUAUAGACUUCUUUAUGCCUACUGUACAAACAUCAGCGUGUCGAGAAAGUCAAGUGAGGUUUAAUUAUAGCUUGGAUGAUGUUCACCACAUAUUUUGUUAUCAGCUCUUCUACAAUUUUAGUUUGCAUUUAAGCAUACCCACAAAAUUGUUAACAAAAGCACAGAUUCUAGUUAACAUUAUAAUAAAGUUAUAUGUCGUUUCGUUUUAGGGGAUAUGCUGGCUAUUGAGCCCAGGUUUUUCACAUGCUAAGCAAAUGUUUUUCCAUGGAGCUACAUGAUCAGCCCAGCAUCUGAAUUUUCAGUGGGCAGUUUUGUUGUAGUACAUUUGUUUGUGUUACUAUGAGAUGAAUCUUCAGAGCACUUUCUUCUUGCAAAACUGAAGUUCUCUCUCUAUGAAACAACUGCUAUUUUCACUGUCCACCAUUCCACUUCCUAAAACUUUGACCACUUUAGGUGGUUAUUGUUUUGAAACCUCACACUUUGUCAUUUUGUGAUUGGCUAUUUCAAUAGUUUGUCAAGGCUCAGACUUGCAGCAUGUGACAUGAAGUUCUUCAUUUUUAAAGCAAAAUAAUAUUAAUUGUGCAAACAUACUAGUUUGUUUAGCCCAUUCAUUUGUUGGUAGUUAUUUCAGAUGAUUCUACUUCUUGACUUUUGUACUACAUAGUGGUGCUGGCUGCAGUGAUGUAAAGUGUUUAGGACAUGUUUGCAAUUAUCAGAGGUACUGUGUUAUGUAACAGAAUUUUUAUGGAGAGAAAAAAAACACACUUGUAACCACAGCUGGCUAUACUGCUUUGGCUCCUGGUGGGUCACAAACAUGCACUUUCCCAGGAGCUAUCUGAAUUCAUGAAUGAAAGACACACACACACACACACACACACACACACACACACACACACACACACACACUUGUUGCAGUAAAUCUCCAACCCCAAUAAGCCCUGCAAAGAACACACAACUCAGUUGUUAUAUUUAUAAGCUGCAUACCUAGAUUGGGCAGAUAUACCACUAUACUACUAUAUUCCCCAGCUGUAAGAUCUCUUGCUACUUGUGGCUCCUCCACGUGGUUCGGCUCCAUCUAUUUUAUACCUCCUCUUCUUUCAUCUUCCUCUGUCUCCUCAUCUCUCCCUCCUCCUUCCUCUCUCCCCUCUCUAAAACCUCCAGCCCCACCUUUCCCUUCCACUGCCCAAUCACAGGCUCUAGCCUUUAUUCCAUUAGUUAAAAUGGGGAGAAGGUUCACCUAAAACCGCCUGGAUAUGUGAUCCACUCCUCCUCGGGCAGCCCCUCUUGAGGUAGCAGAAUUAGCAUCAAAAUACAAACAGCAACAGGGCAAUUCAACACAAACACACACACACACACACACACACACACACACGUUUGUUUAGGAAUACAACCUGUUUAGUCUGUUCUGAAAUGCCACAGUGUAGUUAAAUCAUUAAACUUAGCCUUGGUGGGAGGAAUGGUGCUGAAGCUUUAUCGGUCUUUAGCUCUAGUAUUUAUCUUUUUUAUUACGUGUUUGCAUAAUGUUAGCAUGUAUUUUCGUCUCUCCUCUUUUAAGGAUUUUAUUAGGUGGAUGUUGGUCUGCUUAGUUUGUUCCUUAUCCUAUCAUCUUUUUCCUUCUCUGUUUUAUUUUUUGGUGGGUUUCUUUCAUAUGAUUUUCUGUCCUUUGUACUACAUUUUUAAUCUUGGCAGUCAUAACUAAAUUUUGGGUUCUCAUUAUUCUGUUUCUUUGGUUAUAUGGGAUUUUCUUUAAAUCUUAUUUUCAAGAUGCUUUUAAGAAUGUUUUAAAUGUUUGUUUUUGUUUUCUCAAUUAGUUCAGCUUCCUCUAAGGUGAAUUUCUGUCUUCCAAGUUUUGGUGUUUCCUUUUUAAUUUUGUCAGUUUUCCUCCAAUGGUAAAGACUUCUGUCUUUUAUUAAGGAAGAAGGACUGAGGAGAUGGACGUAUAUUUCUGCUUUGUUGUGUUAACAGGACAGUUUUCCUACAGACUUUCUCCUCAACCUACAGGAAUCUCUUCCUGAGAUGGGCACACAAUGUUGACUAGCAAGUCCUUUAGGAUGGAUGAGGCGAGCUUCUGUUUGGUUUGAAAACACUCCAGAGAUUUUAGGUUUCCACUUUUGCACCAACACAUUUAGAAGUUAGACUUUUCUGGACUUAUUUGAUUUCUGUAGAUAUAAUUCUCACAUGUAUUUGAUGGGACAGAAUGCUGCCUUUCUGAGACAUGUGUUCAAGUUGGAGACUGGCUUGAACUUUGUCAUAUUCAGCUUCAAAUAAACUGUUCCUAGCUUCAUAUUUUACACCUCCCCUAACUUUUGCCAACUGAUUUUGUACUCAGAGUUCUCUGGGAUUUGAAAGGCAGAUUAACUGCCUUCUAUACAGAUCUCUAUUGUUUGUUGAUUCCUCUUCAUAUAUAAACACUUUGCCCCUUCUUAGAAUUGGGAACAAAACACCCAUGGAAGGAGUUACAGAGACAAAGUUUGGAGCUGUGACGAAAGGAUGGACCAUCUAGAGACUGCCAUAUCUGGGGAUCCAUCCCAUAAUCAGCUUCCAAAAGCUGACACCAUUGCAAAAAAAAAAUAAAUGUAAAGUAUAAAAUAUAAAAUAUGAUAUAUGAUAUAUAUGUUUUUUAUUUAUUUACAUUUCAAAUGUUAUCCCCCUUCCCAGUUUUUCCUCCCCAAACUCCCUAUCACAUAUCCCACUCACCCACCCACUUGGGCCUCACUGCCCUAGAAUUCCCCUAUGCUGGGGUUAAAGCCUCCACAGGGCCCAUUGAUGUCAGAUAAAGUCAUCCUCUGCUACCUACGCAGCUGGAGCCAUGGGUCCCUCCAUGUGUACCCUUUGUUUGGUGGUUUAGUCCCUGGGAGCUCUUGAGGGGUCUGGUUGGAUGAUAUUGUUCUUCCUAUGGAGUUGCAAACCUCUUCAGCUCUUUCAGUCUUUCCUCUAACUCCUUCAUUGGGGUCCCCGUGUUCAGUCAGAUGGUUAGCUAUGAACAUCCGAGUCUGUAUUGGUUAGACUCUUGCUGAGCCUCUCAGGGGACAGUCAUAUCAGGUUCUUGUCAGCAAGCAUUUCUUGGCAUCUGGUUUUGGUGUCUGCAAAUGCAAUGAAUCCCUAUGUGGGGCAGUUUCGGGAUGGCCAUUCCUUCUGUCUCUGCUCUACUCUUUGUCCCUUCAUUUACUUUAGACAGGAACAAUUCUGUGUUAAUACUUUUGAGAUAGGUGGGUGGCACCAUCCCUCAACUGAGGCCGAUCCCUAACAUCUGGAUCUCCCUCUUUACAGGUUCUCCUUCCCCUCUGUUGGGUAUUUCAGAUACUGUCAUCCCUGUUGGGUCCUGGCAUCUGGGACUUUCUAGUUGCUACCCCCAGUUCCCCAUCCCCCACUACUACACACCUUCAUUCAAUUUCUUGACUCUUUAUACUUCUUCCUCCAUCUCCUCCCAUACCUCAUCCUGUCACCCUCCCCCCUGCCAGAUCCCACCCACAUUCUAUUUACCAUGAUUAUUUUGUUUCCUUUUCUAAGUAGGAAUGAAGCGUUCACAUGUUGGUCUUCCUUCUUGAGCUUCAUAUGGUCUGAGUUGUAUCGUGUAUAUUCUGACCUUUUUGCCUAAUAUCUACUUAUCAGUGAGUACAUACCAUGUGUGUUCCUCUGUGACUGAGAUAUCUCACUCAGGAUCACAUUUUCUAGUUCCACCCAUUUGCCUGUGAAUUUCAUAAAGUCAUUGUUUUGAGUAAUUAGUAUUUGAGUUGAGUAGAACUCCAUUGUGUAAAUAUACCACAUUUUCUGUAUCCAUUCCUCUGUUGAGGGACAUCUGGGUUGUUUCCAUCUUCUGGCUAUUAUAAAUAAGGCUUCAAUGAACAUAGUGGAGCAUGUGUCUGAUUCUUCAUUCUUUUUGUGUCAAAUGACCUUUUCUACACUUAUAUUCCAAGAAUUAAUUAGAAAUCUAAACUUCAGGAAUGCAUAAGAGUUGUCUUAUCUGUUAGGCAUUUUCCUUUGUGCUCUUUUUUAUUAUCUUCUGUCUCCCACCUAUGUUUCUCUCUGAUACAGGGAACUGGCUCUGCCAAUAAUAUUUUGUUACCAACUGCAGGCCAGCAGUCAUCUAAGUUUAACCAUUAAGAAAUACCAGAGAGAUACUGGCAAGAGGGGAAAAUAGAAAAGGUAACCAUACCUCCACCUGCUUCUGCCUUGGGCAACAUCUCUAAAAUUCCAGCCCUUCUUUUAUUUCGACUAACUCGAUACCUUCUGAACAUACACACCCCCUAACUUGUGAUUCCAAUUCUUGCCUAAUAACGUUUGAUUCUAGGAUCAGCCAACAAUAUCUUGUCCCUGGGUCCCUACAGCCAUAAUGGUGCUAAUAGCAUUAAAUGUUGUUUACUGAUAUGACUUUUUACAUCACAUCAUACUUUUUUUUUNNNNNNNNNNNNNCUAUAAAAGUAUUCACCUUGAUUCUUCUUACUGUUUUCUGAAAGACAUAGACAUAAGGAAUAUUCUAUGUAUCUAUACUUUUAGUUUAAUGGGUUCUUGGAAGAAAUGGAAGAUAUAUGCAUAUGGCCAGUCUGUCAACAUGAACUGAAAAAUGAAUGUUUUGUGGAUUUGGGUGUAUAUUGUCAAAACCUUUGUAUCAUAUUUUAUUUCCACUAACAGCAGAUGGUGUUCAUAUCUGACAUCUGCAUAGCUCAGUGUGUGAUACUGGUAUCAUCAGUGUAUCUGACUUUUACAUAGGAACAUGAAUUAAAAUAUAUGUAUGGUCUCUUGACUCAGAACAUUUAAUUUUUCUUCCUAACAGCUGGAAAUAAUCUAUGAGGACAGAAAGACAGUAGCACAUGAAUAAGUUUGGGUUCAAAGUGGCUAGUCAGUUACUCAAGACUUCAGAUUCCCAACACUAAGGGAGAUACAAAAAAAAAAAGCUGCUUUCCUGGCGGCUGCUCUAAAGUCUAAAGAGGCAAGGUUUUUUGUUUUUUUGUUUUUUGUUUUUUUUUUGUUUGUUUUGUUUUUUCUGGCUAAAAGUAAAGUUCUUCCCAGAAAAAGAAAGUUGUCACUGGGAUCCAAGUUUUCAAAGCAUUACUCAGAAAACAGUAUGUCUCACAAAAGGCUGAGUCACAAUCAUCUACCUCUGCUUUUAAGAUUAAUAAACAGUCAGGAAAAGUUAUAUCUUACAUGGAUUUCCAUAGAGAGAAUGAGAAACAGAGUAAAAGUACAGGAUUUCGAAUGUGACAUGUUGCCUUUUCUCAACUGUAUGGAACAAAGUCUUAGCUGCAUCCCUUACACAAAUCACAUCAAUUUAUCAAUUUGAAGUCUUGGUUGGCCACGGCUUAUGGCAUUUUAUGGUGGCUUUGUAAUCAUGCUUUUGGUCUUUGUAAUUUCAUUAAUUAACACUGGUCAUCUACACAGUCAGGAUGUCCUCUAUGACCCCAGCUUCUUCCACCUGCAGAGAUGGUAUACUUUUUCAUCACCCUAUUGCUUUACUCUAGUGUGCAUUCCUUCCAUUAUUUAGCAUCAACUUUUUUUAUCUUGAAAUUGAAGAUAAUUGGGUCCAGAAUUAUCCAUCCCUUGCUGAGCAAAGCAUAUGGCUAAGAGAGAUCGCGUCUCUUGAAAUCAAUGUAGCUAGUCCUUAUGUUCACAAAAAUCUCCUAUUAGGCUGCAUGACCUUUUCUCACAACAAUGUUAUUUUAUCUUAUGUGUUGAUUUAAAGAGUUAAAGUCUCUCUCCUCCUCCUCUCCCACCCUCUGUUCUAACUUUUCUUUCUUCCCUUUCUCCCAUUAUUCAAGAAGAUAAAAAAGUGGAAGAGUCACAGAUCUUAGCUUCAUCAUCAAUGACUGUAUUCACAGCUCUCACAUUCCAUGUGGUCUAUGAACAGGUUACUGUAGAACAUAAAGGGGCUUUUAGUUUUAUAGGGUGACCAAUUAGUGUUCUGACUAAACUCAGAUGUUUUGGUGACUUGUUGGGGUGGAGCCCAAUAAUUUUGCCAAGAUGGGAUCCACACGAGUGAUCCUUUUGGUCGAUACUCAGCCCCAAAUCACAGUCAAGUGGAAACAAAGGGCACUCAGCAGACAGAGAACUCCAAUUAGAAUAAUUAGGAGAAGUAAUUUGCACAGCUUCAAAAAAAAGAAGAAGGAAGAACUCUUGACAUUGCAAUUUAUCUAAUGAAUAUCUUAUUGAAGACCACUUGUAAUGUGAAAUUAAAAGCCAAAAAAAAAAAAAAAAUGAGUACAUUAGGCCAAUAGAUGCCCCUGGAGCUCCCCUACUUUAUUUGCCUUAUUUCUACACACAUCAUUUCUCAACUUAUUAGUUAUCAGCUUAAGCCCCCAGAAUCAAGGAGAAAUUCACAAAUUCUUUUAGAAAAUAGUAACACUUUAUACUCACAAGUACUACACAAAAAUCCUCUAUUUGCUACAAUUUAUGUCUGAAGGGAUUUAAGUUUAAUUGUCUUGAUCUCUUAGAAAAGAAAAGACUUGGAAGCAUUUAGUAUGACUAAAACUUUUCCCACAUGCUGUGACUUUAAUUAUGGAAAGUCGGGUCCCCUUAUAAUGCCCUGGAGUAUUGUGUAGGAAAUGUCCAUCAGGAACAAAGCAAGUGUAAUACCAUGAUCUGAAAUGAUUGGCUCCUAUACUUUCUAGUUUGUUUAAAAACACAACUGAAUGAAUCCACAUAGGAGAGCACUUCUACAUGUUCAUUUCAUUUUAUUCAUAUGACUAUGUUCCCCUUUGGUACACAUCAAAUACACAAUAUUCAUAUGGAUCUCCAAACAGGGCAUUGGAUCUCUAGAAAGUGGGACGGUUGUUAGCCAGAAUGUAUACAUUUCAAUUGAGCUGGAAUCAUCUGGAAAAGCAGUCAUUGCUCUUAACAAGUGAAUCGUCAAGUUAAUCCCUCAUACCAGAGAACAUUUCUACCUAGCCAUUAUUUUUUAGUAUGAAGUAUUUUUUAUUUGUUGACACGUGUCUAUCAAUCCUUUUCAACUGCAACAGAGCCUAUUGUGUUAUGCUCAGAAACUGAAGAGGGGUAGCAUAUCUCUUCUUAUAUUUCCUUUGUAUGGGUUUGGGUAGCACUUAGGAAGAUAAUAAGUGGCAAGAAAAGUGCUAAUCAUAUUUCAAGUAAAAAACUGAACACAGCUACAAGCAUAUAUAUUUUAAUCAAAUUUUAUAAAUGUCCUAUUUAUUAAAUAUUUAAUUUAAAUUAAAACAAAUUAAAUGCAAAAAUAAUUUAAGGAGCUUGGAUACAUUAAGAUCUCAGGUUCCCAGAUACAGUUUGACUCCAAGGAGUUCUGACACACCCAGGAUCUCAGGAUCCCAGGAUUCCAGAAUUUAGGAUCACAUGGACAACUGGACUAUGAGGAGUUCUGAAACAACCAGGAUUACAGGAGGGACAGGCCCCAGUCAGACACAGUGAGGGCAGGCAGCACUACAGAUAACCAGAUGUCAAGAGGCAAGCAUAAGAACAGAAGCAACAGACGCCAAGUUUACUUGGCAUCAUCAGAACACAGUUUUCCCACCAUAGCAAGUCUGGAUACACCAUCACAUCCCGAAAAGCAAGAUUCAUAUCUAAAAUCACUUCUAAUAAUGAUGAUAGAGGUAGAGGUCUUUAAGAAGGGCAUAAAUAACUCUCUUAAAGAAAUACAGGAGAAUACAGGUAAUCAGGUGAAGGAAUUUAAUGAAACCAUUCAGGAUGGAAAAAAAAACCAGAAAUAGAAACAAUAAAUAAAUCACAAACCCGAGACCUUGGAGAUAGAACACCCAGGAAAGAGAUCAGGAAUCAUAGAUGCAAGCAUCACCAACAGAAUAGAAGAGAUAGAAGAGAGGAUCUCAGGUACAGAAGAUACCAUAGAAAACAUGGACACAAUAGUCAAAGAAAAAUGCAAAAUGAAAAAAGCUCCAAAAACUAAACAUCCAGGAAAUCCAGGAUGCAAUGAGAAGCCAAAAUCUGAGGAUAAUAGGUAUAGAAGAGAGUGAAGAUUCCCACCUUAAAGGCCCAGUAUCUUCAACAAAAUUAUAGAAGAAAACUUCCAUAACCUAAAGAAAGAUGUGCCCAUGAACAUAAAAGAAGCUUAUAGAAUUCCAAAUAGGAUCAGAAAAGAAAUUCCUCCCAUCAUAUAAUAAUCAAAACACCAUAUGCACUAAACAAAAAAGAAUAUUAAAAGCAGUAAGGGGAAAAGGUCAAGUAACAUAUAAAGGCAGACCUAUCAGAAUUCCACCAGAGUUCUUACCAGAGACUAUGAAAACCAGAUUAUCCUGCACAGAUGCCAUACAGACCCUAAGAGAACACAAAUGCCAUCCCAGACUACUAUACCCAGCAAAACUCUCAAUUAACAUAGAUAGAGAAACCAAGAUAUUCCAUGUCAAAACCAAAUUUACACAAUAUCUUUCCACAAAUUCAGCCAUACAAAGGAUAAUAGAUGGAAAACUCCAAGAUAAAGGAGGGAAACUACACCCUAGAAAAAGCAAGAAAGUAAACUUCCUUCAACAAGUCCAAAAGAAGAUAGCCACACAAACAUAAUUCCACCUCUAACAACAGAAAUAACAGGAAGCAACAAUAGUUUUUCCUUAAUAUCUCUUAAUAUCAAGUGGACUCAAUUCCCCAAUAAAAAGUCCUAGACUAACAGACUGGAUACAGAAACAGGACCCAGCAUUUUGCUGCACACAGGAACUACACCUCAGUGACAAAGACAGACACUACCUCAGAGUAAAGAGCUGGAAAACAAUUUUCCAAACAAAUGUUUCCAAGAAACAAGCUGAAGUAGUCAUUAUAAUAUCAAAUAAAAUCGACUUUCAACCAAAAGAUAAGAAAAGACACUUCAUACAAGAAGAUUGAAAUAAUCCCAUGCAUACUCUCAGAUCACCACAGACUAAAGCUGGUCUCCACUAACAACAAAAACAAUGGAAAGCCCACAUGCACGUGGAAACUGAACAAUGCUCUACUCAAUGGUAACUUGGUAAAGGAAAAAAUAAAGUAAGAAAUUUAUGACUUUUUAGAAUUUAAUGAAAAUAAAGGCACAUCAUACCAAAACUCAUGGGACACAAUGAAAGCAGUGCUAAGAGGAAAACUCAUAGCUUUAAGUGCCUACAAAAAGAAACUGGAGAGAGCAGCUUGACAGCUCAUCUGAAAGCUCUAGAACAAAAAGAAGCAAGCAUACUUAAGAGACAUAGACAGUUGGAAAUAAUCAAACACAUGGCUGAAAUCAACCAAGUAGAAACAAAAAGAACUAUACAAAGAAUCAACAAAAUUAGGAGCUGUUUCUUUGAGAAAAUAAACAAUUAGAUAAACCCUAAACCAGAUUAACCAGAAGGAACAGAGAAUGUAUCCAAAUUAAUAAAAUCAGAAGUGAAAAGGGAGACAUAAAAACAGAAACUGAAGAAAUUUUUAAAAAAUCAUCAGAUCCUACUACAACAAAAUUGGGAAAUCUGGAUGGAAUGAACAAUUUUCUAGACAGAUACCAGGUACCACGUACGAAGGUUAAAUCAGGAUCAGAUAAAUCAUCUAAAUAGUUCCAUAACUCCUAAAGAAAUAGAAGAAGUCAAUAAAAGUCUCCCAACCAAAAAAAGCCUAGGACCAGAUGGAAUUAGUGGAGAAUUCUAUCAGACUUUCAAAGAAGACCAAAUAUCAAUAUUUUUCAAACUAUUCCACAGAAUAGAAACAGAAGGAAUACUACCCAAUUUGUUCUAUGAAGACACAAUUACGCUUAUACCUAAACCAAACAAAGACCAAACAAAGAAAGAAAUCUUCAGACAUAUUUUCCUUAUAAACAUCGAUGCAAAAAUACACAAUAAAAUUCUCUCAAACUGAAUCCAAGAACACAACAAAAUGAUCAUUCACCAGGAUUAAGUAUGCUUCAUCCCAGGUAUGCAGGCAUGGUGCAGUAUACAGAAAUCUAUCAAUGUAAUCCACUACAUAAACAAACUCAAAGAAAAAAAUCACAUGAUCCUUUCACUAGCAUUUGAGAAAAUUCAACAUCCCUUCAUGUGACAAGUCUUGAAAAGAUCAAAAAUUGAAGGCCCAUACAUAAACACAGGAAAAGCAAUAUAUAGCAAAGCAGUUAGUAGACAACAUUAAACUAAAUAGAAACUUGAAGCAAUCCCACCAAAAUCAGGAACUAGAUAAGGCUUCCCACUCUCUCCCUACCUGUUAAAUACAGUACUUGAAGUUGUAGCUAGAGAAAUUAGACAACAAAAGGAUGCCAAAUACAAAUUGGANUCCACCAGAGAAGUCUUACAGCUGAUAAACAACUUCAGCAAAGUGGAUGGACAUAAAAUUAACUCAGACAAAUCAGUAGCCUCUUCUACUCAAAUGAUAAACCGGCUGAGAAAGAAAUCCUUCACAAUAGUCACAAAUAACAUAAAAUACCUAGGUGUGACUCUAACAAAGAAACUGAAAGAUCUGUAUAACAAGUACUUUACAUCUUUGAAAAAAGAAAUUGAAAAAUCUCAGAAGAUGGAAAGAUCUCCCAUGCUCAUGGAUUGGCAGGAUUAAUAUAGUAAAAAUGGCCAUCUUGCCAAAGGCAAUCUAUAGAUUCAAUGCAAUCCCCAUCAAAAUUCUAAUUCAAUUCUUCACAAAGUAAGAAAGAACAAUUUGCAAAUUCAUUUAGAUAACAAAAACCCAGGACAGUGAAAACUAUUCUCAACAAUAAAAGAUCUUCUGGGGAAAUCACCAUCCUGGAACUCAAGCUGUACUACAGAGCAAUUGUGAUAAGAUAAAACAAACAAAACAAAACACCUGUAUGGUAUUGGUACAGAGACAUGCAAGAAGAUAAAUGGAACAGAAUUGAAGACCCAGAAAUGAACCCACACAUAUAUGGUCACUUGAUCUUUGACAAAGGAGCUAAAACCAUUCAGUGGAAAAAAAGACAGCAUUUUCAACAAAUGGUGCUGGCUCAACUGGAGGUCAGCGUGUAGAAGAAUGCAAAUUGACCCAAUAUUAUUUCCUUGUACAAAUAUCAAGUCCAAGUAGAUCAAGGACCUCCACAUAAAACCAGAUACUGUGAAACUUAUAAAGGAGAAAGUGGGGAAGAGCCUCGAACACAUGAGCACAGGGGAAAUUUUCUUGAACAGUUCACCAAUGGCUUAUGCCUAAGAUCAAGAAUUGACAAAUGGGACCUCAGAAAAUUGCAAAGCUUUUGUAAGGCAUAGGACAUUGUCAAUAGGACAAAAGAGCAACCAGUAGGUUGGGAAAAGAUCUUUACCAAUCUUACAUUUGAUAGAGGUUUAAUAUCAAAUAUAUAAAAGGAACUCAAAAAGUUAGACUCCAGAGAAUCAAAUAAACCUGUUCAAAAUGGGGCUCAGAGCUAAACAAAGAAUUCUCACCUGAGGAACACUGAAUGGCUUGGAAGCACCUAAAGAAAUGUUCAACAUCCUUAGUCAUCGGGGAAAUGCAAAUCAAAACAACUCUGAGAUUCCACCUCACACCAGACAGAAUGGCUAAAAUCAAAAACUCAGGUGGCAGCAGAUGCUGGCAAGAAUGUGGUGAAAGAGGAACACUCUUCCAUUGCUGGUGGGAUUGCAAGCUGGAACAACUAUUCUGGAAAUCCGUUUGGUGGUUCCUCAGAAAAAUGGACAUAGUACUAAUGGAAAAUCCAGCAAUACCACUCCUGGACAUACACCCAAAAGAUUCUCCAACAUGUAAUAAGGACACAUGCUCCACUAUGUUCUUAGAAGCCUUAUUUAUUAGAGCCAGAAGCUGGAAAGAACCUAGAUGUCCUUCAACAGUAGGAUGGACACAGAAAAUAUGGUACAUUUACACAGUGGAUUACUACUCAGCUAUUAAAAACAAUGAAUUCAUGAAAUUUGCAAUCAAAUGGAUGGAACUUGAAAAUAUCAUCCUGAGUGAGGUAAUCCAAUCACAAAAGAACAACAUGGUAUACACGCACUGAUAAUUGGAUAUUAUCCCAAAGGCUCGCUGUACCCAAGAUACAAUUCACAGACCACAUGAGGCCCAAGAAGUUGGAAGGCCAAAGUGUGGAUGCUUAGGUCCUUCUUAGAAAGGGGAACAAAUACAGAGGUGGAUGCAUGCAGUCAGCCAUUAGACAGAGCACAGGGACCCCAAUGGAGGUUUUAGAGAAAUGACUGAAGGAGCUGAAGGGGUUUGCAACCCCAUAGAAAGAACAGUGUCAACCAACCAGACCCCUCAGAGCUCCCAGGGACUAAGCCACCAACCAAGGAGUACAUAUGGAGAGACCCAUGGCUCCAGCCACAUAUGAAAUAGAGGAUGACCUUGUCAGACAUCAGUGGGAGGAGAGGCCCUUGGUCCUGUAAAGGCCCUUGGCCCAUGGAUGGAUGACCCAGUGUAGAGCAAUUUGAGGGUGGGGAGGCAGGAGUAGGUAGAUGGGUGGGAGAACACCCUAUAGAAGCUGGGGGAGUGGGGAUGGAAUAGAAGUUUUCAGGGGGGAGGGGCAGGUAAAGGGGCUAACAUUUGAAAUACAGAUAAAGAAAAUAUCCAGUAAAAUUAAAUAAAAUAAUUUAAUUUAAAUUUAAAUAUUUUAUUAAUAGCCUUGUAUAUGGGGUAUAAAUAUAUUUUUUAAGGUUUUACUUGGUCUACACACAGAUACACAUAUAUGUAAAUUCACUUUCAAAGAAAGAAAUAUGAAAAGAUUAACAAUUUAGAGAGUAAUUAAUAAAGUCAAAUUAUAAAGAAGUGUCUGCUACUUUUAUAAACAUGUUGAGGUCCACUAGAAGUGAUUAUACAUAAGGAAAUUGGGUGGUCAUGAACAGAGGACCUGGGGUCUGGCAAACUCUUGAUGUUGUUAUUAUAUGAACAUGAUUGACUUAAGAAGUUUUAGGGAACUGUCUCCUGGGAAGAGCUUAUUUUUGUACAUGACUACUACCUCCUUGCAAUGCCAGCUGUCUGUUCCUGAGAUGGAUAACCCAAAUGUCAUUUCCAAGGAAGAUGGCUUCCAAGAAGAGAUCAAGAGGGCAGUUGAGGAAUUGAGAGUUAAGUGGGAGAUCUAGGAUUGAAACAUCAGGUACUAACUCCAUCCCACUUCUUACUUGGGAGACUGUCUCUAAUAUGCAGUAUUGGGAAUGUGGGAGGGGGGGGGCUGAGGACUGCAAAGAUUAUCCAUCACUGGAGUAGGCAUUUGUGCUAUUUGCAGUCUUUAGAGGAAAAUGUUUCCAGUUAGCUGUGAGAAACACUUGCUCCUUCUGUUUCAGAGGUCAUUAUGAGUGAGGUAGGUGUGGGAUCUAUUCCUUUUGGCAACAGCAUCAUGGAAGGAAAGGGAGAGCCAGGAUUAUCUCACAAAUAGAAAGGAACAGCAAGUUUUACACCCACUGCUUUUUAAAAUGAUAGCAGUGAAGUCUGACCUGAAUUGAGUAAGGCACUUGAGAUGACUCUGCUGGCAUUCUGAAACGUAAUCUUAACCCUCUCACAUGAGUAGUUCUCGAGACACCACACCACCAAGGAAAAGAGAACAUAACACAAAGGAUGCUACAUCUGAGCAGAAAGCACAUAGAAGUAAUGGAGGUUCCCCUCAACUCCAUUUAUGUGCCUUGGUGAGUACUAUCAGCAAUCAAAAGAGGAAGAAAACUUUUCCUCAGGUUUCAGACCUGGUCUUGGAUGGUAGAUUUCAUUUUCAAGUCAGGCUGAUAUUUUAAGUAUGGACUAAAACUGACUUUAGCACAAAAGUAUUCUUCAGGAAUAAAGAUUGAAUAAAACAUGUUUGUUCCUUGAGGAUAUUAUGCUGUUUUCCAGAAUUUUAAUAAUGCAUACAAAGCUUUAGAAACUUGGUAUAAUGGGUUCAUGAUGUCCUUAGGAUGGUAGGAUGCUUGCCCAGCAUACUUUUUGCCCUCCCUUCAACUCCCAGCAGCUCAGAAGGUGGACAUGGUACUGCACAGGUGUAAUUCUAGCACUAAGGAGGUAGAUGCAGGAGAAACACAAGUACAAAGUCCUCUGCAGCUUAAGUGAAUUCUAGGCAACCUGGAUAACAUAAGAACACCCUUCCCCCAAGACACACACACACACACACACACACACACACACACACACACACACGUACCACAUAAGCCUGGUGAGAUGACUCACUGUAACCUGGUGAUCUGCGUUAGAUCCCUAGAACAUAGUAGAAGAACCGACUACCACAAGGUUGUUCUCCAACUUUCACAUGUUUGUGAUGGUACAUACACACACCCCAAAUAAACAGAAGAUAAUAAAAAUAAAUACAAGUCAAUACAGCACUUUGCUUAGCAUUUAAAUUUUUUACUGGUGACUUUAUAGUGGCUCUUCUUAAAUGGCAAUUCUUACUCAGUUGUUUUUGACUGUGAGGAUGUGUUAUGUCAGAAAUGGUACUUUAGAACUUGUAGAUUGAAGAGAUCUAAGAAGCAGGCACUGCUGUUAAUUCAGCCAAGUGAGAAACUGUGUGUACUCUCCCCAUCACCUCGUCUAUAGACAUGUUAAAAAUAGUGAUGUAUGUGCAUGACAUAUUAUUUAUUUAGUCUCCCUAGACUGAAUGUGAAUGUGGAUUUACAGACCCCUCACAAUAAAUUCUGCUACCCUCAGGGGUCCAAGACCUACUGCUUGAAAUCCACAGAGCAGGACAGGCUUAUGAUUGAUGACAACGAGGAGGGCCUGGGGCACAUCUGCUAGUCUUCCAUGGCUUUCAUCCUCACAGCCCUCACACAGCCUCCUUGAAAUGCCACACUCUGCUGUGUUUACUGGAAAUGUUUUCUGUAUAAACUUCAAAAAGUUAGUUAUGACUCUCUACAGCAGAAACAUUUUUCAUAAAAAAAAUGAAGUGUACCUUGGAUGAAGAUUUAUUCAUCAAAGAAAAAUGAUUUUCGAUUUAGGAUCUACUAGGUCUUUAAAUGUGCAUAAUAGUACUUUAAGUGGGAGGUGACUAUACACUUGUUUAAUGCAUAAUUUUCUAUACUUUUCUGAUAAAAUAUUUAUCAGUACAUUAAGGCAAAAGAUUCCCACAUAUAGUACCUAAAGACACAUAACUUUGUGUUCUCAUUACUAUGUAUACAUUGUAGUUGCAAUACAACAACAAAGCCUACCAAUGAAGACAGUAAUGCUACACAAUACAUAGCCAAGUAUCACUGUAAAUUCACUUUCUAGAGCCUUCUGGAAUUUCUUUCUCUCCACUGAUUUUGUCAAAGCUUAUGAUUCAAGAUGUAAGUGUAUAUAUCUAUCCAAUUUUGUUUCCUACCUCACCCAUUUUUUAUUGUCUUCUUUUUGGUUAAUCCUAGGUAGAGUUCCCCCCCCCCCUAGAAAUGCCUUGUUGUGGAUUGUCCUAAUAAUGUUUGUAUUUUGAUGUUUGUUUUGUUUCCUCAAGCAGGAUUGCCCCUGACAAGCAACAUCACAUACUCAGAUCAUCUCAUGUGAACCUUCUUCCCAUUUAACUGGUCAAUAAGGCUAGAGCCUGUGAUUGGGCAGUGGAAAGGAAAGGUGGGACUGAAUGCUUGAGAGUGUAUACAGGUAGAGGAGAGAAGAGGACAAGAGGGGAAGGAUGGAGGACAAAGCCAGAAGAGGAGGAGGAAGGCAUGAUGGACUAGAAACGUAUGGGCAGGAGAAACUGCAAGUAAGAAGGGGACUUAUAGCUGGGAAAUAUGUUAGUAUAGUGUUAGAUCUGACCAAUUUAGGCAUACAGCUUACAAUUAUAAUAACUGGAUUGUGUGUUUUUAUAUGGGUUUAUUGGGGUUGGAAAUUCCAAAAACAGUGCCUUAGAUAAUUAUUUUAAAUCUUUCAUAUAUGAAUCUGCACUCAUGUCUAUCCACUUUUUUUUUUUUUUUUGCACCAACAGUACCUUUCUUCCUUUCUUUUUAUCAUGGAACAACUUUCCUGUCAGUUUGUCCUCCUUUGCUUUCUGUGCACACUUUUGUCACAACCAGUUUCAAUCAACGCUGUUCUGAUUUCCAGCCCUACUAUGUAGCUGUCUUCUACUUUUUGGGUUCUUUUUCCUUCCACCCUCCUCUAACCUCUUUCUACCCUUUAAUCCCCCUAAACACUAGAUAAAAGAGAAAAAAGUUAGAAAAGAAAGGAAAUAUUCCUGAAUAAAGUCAGGAGUCAGAAAGGGAGCAACAUUAUCAUUAGACUAUUUUUUUGCAAAUUAGGGGCAUUGAGUUCCUUGAGACAAGUUUGAUCUUCACAAUUAGGAUAUCUAAUUUCUUUCUUCUUCUUCUUCUUCUUCUUCUUCUUCUUCUUCUUCUUCUUCUUCUUCUUCUUCUUCUUCUCCUUCUCCUUCUCCUUCUCCUUCUCCUCCUUCUCCUUCUCCUUCUCCUUCUCCUUCUCCUUCUCUUCUUCCUCCUCCUCCUCCUCCUCCUCCUCCUCCUUCCCCUCCUCCUUCUUCCUCUUCAUGUUUCUUCUUUGUAACAACUACUUAACAAACUAAGACCAAAAGCAACCAAUCAACAACCACCAACCCAACAACUGUCUUGGAUCCCUAGCAUUUAUAUACCCUCUCAAAAGUUCCCAUAAUUCCAAAUAUGCAGAAACUAUCUGGAGCUGGCAAAAUCACACCCUCACUAGAGCAAGAGACAAAUCACAGUUGCAGUGGACAAUGUGAAACAGGCCUAUAUUUCAUACCUGAGACUGAAAAAAAAUCAAUUUCUAAUAACAUUUCUAUGUAUUUAUUUAAAUAAACCAAAAAUUCCAAAAUUCUCAUUAUACCAAUAUUUCAUUGAAAAGUUCUUAUCACAAAGACAAGUUAUGUAGUAUCUAGAUCUGAGGUUAGCCCAUUACUUCUCCUUCACUGACUCUUACAGUAGUGUGUACAUACUGAUCUUCCUUAAAUAUUUCCUUUGGUCUGAUUCCUUCGUUCCUUUAUUCAGGAAGAUUUGCUCAUAGGAUAGAACACAGGAAAAGAAAGGCUGAGUUCUUGAGCUAGAAGUCUGAGAAACUAGAAACCUAAACAUGAGGCUGCAGAAGAGUAAGCACCAUGGUUGAUAAGACACAGUUUGAUAGAGGACUUAAGAGCAAUACCUUCUUAAGAUCAGAAGUGUCUAGGGAAACUUCCUGGGAAAGGUGACACUUAAUUAGAGACACUUGUCAGAUGAAUCAUCCAGAGAGCAGGGUAAUGUAAUGAAAAGGACCAUGAAGGCAGAAGAGCUCAUGUAAAGGGAUUCAGUGUCAGAAGGGAAGAAGGGAGGGGAAGAAACAGAAAAAGUCAGAGAGCUAGAGACAGAGACAGAGAAAGACAGAGACAGAGAGAUAAGGCACAUGCACAUAGAGAUACAUACAUACAUACAUACAUACAUACAUACAUACAUACAUACAUACACAGACACAUACAGAUACAAACAUACAUACAGACACAGAGACACACAGACACACAUAAAGACAGACACAUACUUAGACAGACACAGUCAGACAGACAGACACAGACACAGAGACAGACACUGACAGACACAGAUAGAUAGACAUACAUAGUCAGACAGACAGACACAGAUAGAUAGACAUACACAGUCAGACAGACAUAUAUACAGACAGACACACAAACACAUGGACACAUAGACACACAAAAAGAAACAGACAGGCAAGCAGAUACAGACACAGAGAGAGACAGAAUAGUCAGAGACAGACAGACACACAGACAGAUGGACACACAGAGGAAAUGAACCAAGAGAGAGGGAGGGAGGAAAGGAAGGAGGAAGAAGAAGAAGAAGAAAAAGAAGGAGGAGGAAGAGGAGGAGGAGGAGGAGGAGGAGGAGGAGAAGGAGAAAGAAGGAGAAGGAGAAGGAGAAGGAAAGAAGAAGAAGAAGAAGAAGAAGAAGAAGAAGAAGAUAAGAGAGAGAGAGAGAGAGAGGUGAGAAGUUUGGGUGGAGUGUGAUGAAGAGAAUGGAAAAAUAUAUCACCCCAAGGAGGUCACAUCACAUCAUGGCAGGCUUUGUGGGAUAAUUCGAGAUUAGAGUAUUUAAUGGUGCAGAAAUAUCAUAAAGAACAUAGAUGUUAAAUUUUCUGAGGUUGGAGAAAGGGUUGGAAAUGUGGCAAAGGUAGCUGAAGAGCUUCAGGAGGCCAUGGCAUCAAUUCUGUGUAAUGUAAUUGUUAUACAGGCACCAGGCAUGAGGGAAUGGUGUUUCCUUUAUGCAGCAGUAAGUUCUCUCUUUCCAACCACCCUGUUAUGGAUGUUGGUGAUGUGGAAAUCAGUGUUAAAGGAGGGAGGGAGGAAGGGAAAGGAAGAAGAAAAGAAUGAAGGAGAGGAGAAGGGGAGUGGAAGGAGAGAGAGUUGAAUUAAUGCCACAUGGGAAGAAAUAAAAUGCUUUGCAGAUUGACUGGAAGCCAGAGGUAGGUAUAACAUCUGGUCUUAGAAGUUCAUAAAACUAGGACAACCACCCAUAUGGUGGUGCCAUUCAUGCCACUGGAAAGUACUCAAGUAGGAAUGUGGUGUCCCUAACAGUGGAAAGGGUUGUGGUUUCAGUUUUACUUUACUGUUGUUUUCCAAAAGAAAACAUACUAUAAAGGCAGGAGGCACCUAGAAAGGUAUUGGUUGUUUAUAAACAGCUAGCAAAAGAAAGAGAUAAUAAGGAUUUUUUGUACUAGGAACUUUAUCAGAGAUUAUGUCUGAAUGACCCACAAUAUAAAACAUGGGGACUAUGGUUCUGGAGGAACCUCUUUUUCUCAAGAGACAGAAACUACAGAUCUGGAUUCAUGGCUCUUUAUAUUUGAUAUCAAGGAUUCUGAGACAAAAAUCACAUCCUUACAUCCUUACGGCUACAUGUAUUUCUUCAAUGAUGGAGAACUUGCCUACAUACAUUUGGUCCUAGAGUUGAAUCUUGGCUCUACAAAAGAAUAAACAAAUGUAAAGCACAGAUAUAUUAAAUGAGGAAACUUUAAAAAAGAAUCACACAUACAGUAUCUGAAGCCACAUGCCUUUGUGUUAUCACCAUGCUUAAGAGUGAUAUCAGUCUUCAGAGGGACUAAGGAGAGCAUGGUGAAGUAAAAGAAUCCUUAGAAGAGUUUUAUGCAAAAUUUAAGGGCCUUUACUUUCUCAGGAUCCUGCCAAGGGCUGUGCACAUAACCAGCUCUGAGGUCUGUAAGUCAGAAAAAAAAUUUAUAGUAGUAAAUACUGACAUGUGAAAUAUAAGGAAAGAAAACAACAGCUUUUCAAUUUUCAUCAGUUUCCUCCUCCUUUUGUAUUUUAUGACCCACAUAAAGUUUGCAGCACAAGUCACAUUUUUGCAAGAUCAUUGCUUUGAGGACUAUAUGAAGCAAUAGGUUACAAAAGGCUCUCUCUCUCUCUCUCUCUCUUUUUCUCUCUUUGUAAAACCAGAACUGCAUUUAAGCCACUUUCAAGAAUUCCCGUAUAUUGCUACAUACUUGACCACUUUCAGUGACAUUUUGGAUAUUGCACAGGGAGAAGUUUCACAGUUCUUCUAGAGAGAUAUAUUCAAGAAAAAAACGAACCAUUUUUGUGUGUUAUGAAUAUAAGCUUUCAGUUCACAUUCUCACUCCCCAUCAUUUAUCAAGUCCUAAAUCUCUGCCCAUGCCAACAUAUUAUCAAUAUAUUAUACAACCUGCCUUAUGAAAAGGCUAUUUCCACACCAUUAAGAACGUCAAUUUUAUUUUGCCAACUUAGAACUAUUUUUAAGAAAUUUCAUUUAGUUGUAUCUUAUAGUCUGAUAUUUGUUUCCUGAAAAAUCUGUAAAUUCUUGCCAGUUUAUGAAAUACUAUAGCAUCUACAAGGGUCAGAGGUUAUCUAUGGCAAAAUUUCUGUAAACACAGAAUGGUCAACUUCCCAACAGUGUCUUCUAAGACGGUGGCCAACUCCCUUCUCUGUGUUAGUCAUGGUUAGUCACACAGGGAGGGACUUAACUCUGCUUACAAAAAAAGUGAUUGUUCCACUAUCCUCAGGAAUGGGGUUAGUCACCAGCGUGCUCCCUGGGGCAUUCCACUUCAUCCCUGCUUCCCCCAGGGCAGUAUUGUACUCAGACAAAAGUGUCAGCAGAGAUCCUUGAUUCAGGCACAAGGGCAACUAUUGCUCAGGUCAACUCACCCAGUCCUCGGAACCACCUGGAAUUAUUGGCUGUAUUUUAGAGAUUACAAAGCUGAAGUUUGGAAGGAAAAGACAUUUUCCUAGGGUCAACCAGAAUUGGGUUUUGAACUGAGUUUGGCUCAAGAGUCUGCUUUCAUAAUUAUCACACCAAUGCCUUCCAGAUUUUGUUCCCAAAGGAAGAAGAACUGGGGCAUCCUACCCCAGUCACAGCAUCUCCUUGGCUGUUGUUUUGUAUACUGAAGUUCCAUGAGAAACUUACACACAGGGGGCAACAGCCACACUAUUAAAACUACAGGAAACUUUUGAAUCAAGACACCCCUCUGCACCUCUGAGGUACAGGAUGUGGAUGCUGUGUUGCUUACUUUAGGCCCCCCAAAUAAAUGGUCAACUCAAAUAAUCCUGCUGGAUUAUAUCAGUAAACUGUGGGUUAGGUCAAUUUAGGCCUGCCAAAGUGAUCAAGUGAGAAGGCAGUAUAGCUUAACUAACCUUUUGGUGUUCCACCUGCUCACCACUACAGUAUAAAUAUGAUGAAGACCAUGGAUGUCUAGUGAACUUAGCAGUAUAGAGGUUAUUGAAGAAGAGAUAAAAACUUUAAAACAUCCUUGUCACAACUGGGCUUUGUUCACAGUGUGGGCAUUUGGGGCAUGAACUUCUGUUUGGGUGCAACAACUCAAGAGCACACAGUCUAAGAUGACAGAGAAGGGAGCCAAGAGAGGGACAGAAGCCUAAGACCCCAACCAGGUGGCUUAGUUGAAAUCAUAAACAAUGACCAGGACAGGAUGACAGAGGAAAGAAACUACCAUUCACAUAGGCUGAAGGAGGAAGUGUUUAUCUUGAAACUUUCAAUGUAAAGAUUUCAACCACAGCCUUGCCCUGCUGGGGCUUAUACAUAAGAUGUGCUCACACUCAGUCUUUCAAGUUUGAUUUACAGAGAGUAAAUGGUUUAUUCUAGAAAAAUGUCACUGAGGCAAAUCAAUAAAUUAUAUCAUAUACUUUUUUAUNNNNNNNNNNNNNNNNNNNNNNNNNNNNNNNNNNNNNNNNNNNNNNNNNNNNNNNNNNNNNNNNNNNNNNNNNNNNNNNNNNNNNNNNNNNNNNNNNNNNNNCCUCUGUUGAGGGGCAUCUGGGUUCUUUCCAGCUUCUGGCUAUUAUAAACAAGGCUGCUAUGAACAUAGUGGAGCAUGUCUGACUACAUUUAUAGUGUAGUGGGAAAGGAUGUUUAAAAAUAAAUAAACAUCCGAUUUAGAAUGGCAGUUUCAGAUACUUGGAAUGAAAAACAUUACUAAUCAGGGCACUGAGACUAGCUUUGUUAUAGGCAGUGAAGAGGGACAUUCUAUACAGAGUGGCUAGGGAAUUCCUCAGAUGGCAUAAACUGUGAAAUUGUACAGAAACAACACAAAACAGAAAAAUUUGAAAACUAGGUAGUAAUUUAAGGGAAGGAACAUUCCUGCAUUCCUUCUAAGAGAUACAGCACACACAAAGGCAUCAAGGCACCUUCAUUGCUUGAGUGUGCUUGGAGCAGAGAGUGGGCACAGAGGAACAGACACAUAAACAACAUGGAGAGGAAGUCAAUGUGGUGGGCAAGCUGGUUAUUCCCAGAUCUUUGUAAGCCACAACAAGGACUGUGACUUGAAUUUGAAUGCUAGAGGCAUCAUGAGGAGAGAAAGGUUGCAAUAUGACAUUUCAAUUACUUGUGUCUAUGUGUGGAGUUUCAAAACCGAUGGGGAUGGUCCUGCCAUUAUUCAAGUGAGGGGGAUGCUGACUUCGCAUCGCCAUGAAAUUAGUAAAACAUGAAGAUUCUGGGUGUAUUCUGCUGGAAAGUAAGUGUAGAUUGUAGGGGGAAAAAACCCAACAAAUCAAAGAGGACUAAGGAAAUGGAAUUGUUGUGUAUAGAGUGGGAAAGACUGGUUCAUAAAGAUGUUUGAAAGGUUUUUUUCCCCUUGAGACAAAAUGUUAGCCUGACUAUCUUCAAACUUGCUACAGUUCUGCUAACUCUGCCUUCUAAAUGCCACAGUUAGGGAGGUGUGCCCUCACAUCCUUAUUACAGUGUUUUCUUCUUAUGAGGGUGCAAAAGUAAUUGGAGGAUCUCUAUUCUGUGACUUUAUGUAUCUAUACCAAUUACCUCACUGAAGACCUUACUGCCACAGUGUGGGGAGAGGCUUCACCACAUGAAUAUUACAUGGAGCAAAAUUUAGUCCCCAAUAAGAGACAAUGUACAAAAGAAGAGACUGUCAAACUGGACAGCCUUUCACAGCCUUUUACAGCCUUUCACAGGCAUUAGCAAACUUAGAAAGAAAUAAAAAGAUCUAAAGUGGGGCAUUAUGAAGAUUAGUAAACACGGACUGUUUUAAUUACUAACAUUGUAGGAUGACUAUGAUGAGACUUGGGAAUGGCCACUGAUUUUAGCAAUGUGAAGAACUUGAUGAUACGAAGAACUUGUUUGUGCUAUAGUACAAAUGAUUGCCCCAUGGCCAUGAAUUUCACCAGAACAUGGGAAGUAAGAUAAUUAUUCAUUAAUGGUGGAGAAUAAUCACUUCUGUAAAGAAGAAAUCCCAGUAAGACUUUGUGGAGCAAAGAAGAGAACCAUGGAAAACAGUGUACCUCAGUCCUGGUACUUUUUGAGGAUAUACUUGAGAUGAUGAAUAGGAGGAUAGAAGGAAUGAUUGGAGGAAGACAGCAGAGAUGGAACACAGGUCUGCUGGCCUUCUGGCCAUGUGGGUCCCUCACGAUAGAAGUGGAGAACUACUGAAUAGUUGUGAGACCUAAAACAGAACAUCAGCAAUUGUUGACACUUAAGUCCCCAGAAAGUAUAUCCCAAAGACCUCUUCUCUGGUUGAAAUUAGAAAAAAAAACGAUUCAGACUGUUUUAUCUUCUCAGAUUUUUGGUUUUGCCUUGCACUAGAUACUGCAGUUCAGAAUUGUGCAAUUGGUGGCGUGUCUACAGGGCAGAGACCUUUGCUCUUGAUGGGUAUCCUUCUCUAUUCUGCUUAUCAUGGCACAGAGCUGAGUGGUAUCUCAUCUAGACACUGAGAGUUUUGCUCAAUGCUUUACACGGGAACUAAUCACAUAAAGGGUUAGGAUCUUAGCCUUAUGAAGACAUCAUGUCUUCUCAUGACACAGAAUGGAAAGUCAUGCUAGAGGUCCCAGAUCUCUGGAGGGUACACAACAUGCAGUAGAGUCAUAAAACAUGUUAAUUCUCUUACAUUUUCCUCUUAGAAGUUUCCUUUAUUUUCACAGAAAGUCGGGUCUGAUGACCUAAACUAAGCAUGCUGACAUCAAAUUUCCAGAUUCUGGGAUACUCACAUUAUUUUGCUACUUAAAACCACAUUGAGCUUCCAACAGUUAUUCAGAAGAGCCCCUGUGCAGGCAAGUAUCCCAUCAGUUUAUGGCAGGCUCUGAAAAAAUUUACUUGAAUGGGAGCUCUGUUGCCUUUUGAGCAGAGUGGUUGCCUGAAACAAAUUUACUGUACAGUAAGUUGUAUUUCCUGAGGUAACUAAGUUCCCGUCUAAUGGCCUUAGAGUGCAGCUCCCAGGAGUCAUAAUGCUUUUUGCACACAAGCUUGCAAGGGCUCAGUGCAGACUUGGGCAAAUAAACCCCUCUGUGCACAAAGGGUUCUAGAAAUCUCUUGCAGACAAUCCAAACAACAUAGCCUUCCCACUCUUUACCUUUCCCUUAGCUUAUACUUCUGAGUUUUUGUUAACAUUUAAAAAAGAUAUUAAAGCUGCAUUUUGUUCACCUUGUAAAAUGAAAGAGUACAUUGUACAGGCACUGGAGGUACACGUCAGUGCUUUUAUCAAGUCAGGGGCCUGCUCUGCAGCAUUAAUUGGAAACAUGUGUUGAAAAUUCAGGGCAGGUUUCUCAGUGUCUCUUUAAUUUAGUAGAAUAAAAUAAGAACUAAACUCACAUUUCUUUAUGAGGCCAGUCUGUUGGAGUUGUUCUAUUAGCAGGUCUGAUGGAUGACUCUGAUGGACAAUACUGGUACCUGUGUUUAGGCUGCUGGGAUGCUGGUAGUUGUUCUAUUUAAGACCUUAUUCAUGGUUCUACUACACUUUCAGGCACCAUUAUAGAGGACUUGUUGUAACUGAUUCUCUGAAAGUUAGCUGAGGGAUGCUGAUAGAAAGCAUAAUUGAUUUCAAAGACACCGGAUGACCGACACAUGAAAGAUUUUCAAAUAGCCAUAUGUCAGAAGCUAAAUCUGCAAAGUCUCACCAGUAUGACUGCCUAAACAUGACCUGAAGAAAGAGAAGAACAGAAGACAUGACAAAAUGGACAGGGGAAGGACAGUGAAGCCUCACCCUACACUAAGACCUACAGGAAACAAAUGAGUAUGGAAAGUGAGAGAAUUAGUCUUCUCCAGGGAAGAGCACAUCAAUUGGUUGUAUGUUAUGUGUAGCUUUUUGCUACCCCACCUAUGCUCCAGGAACGGACCUAGCUACCAGACCCCUCCCAGCUUCCCAUGAAUCCACGCAUAAAACACACACACACAGUUCAUUUUCUUUCUUUCUUUCUUUCUUUCUUUCUUUCUUUCUUUCUUUCUUUCUUUCUUUCUUUCUUUCUUUCUUUCCUUUCUUUCUCUCUCUCUCUCUCUCUCUCUCUCUCUCUCUCUCUCUCUCUCUUUCUUUCAAUUGUCAUCAGGAUGUUUACUGGAUAUUUUCUUUAUUUACAUUUCAAAUGUUACUCCCUUUCCCAGUUUUCCCCCUGGGAACUCCCUAUUCUAUGUUCCCUUCCCCUGCUUCUAUGAGGGUAUUCUCCUACCCACUCCCACCUCCCUGCCCUCUAAUUCCCCUACACUGGGGCAUCGAUCUUCACAGGACCAAGGGCCUCUCCUUCCAUUGAUGCCCAAUAAAGCCAUCCUGUGUUGCAGUAUUUUCCCUAUCCAAUUACAUUAGGGAAGCAAGAGGCUUGUGAUUGAACAGGGAAAAGGGAGGCGGAGCUAAGAGUUGCAGAGACAGAGAAUGUCUAGAAAGGAGAAGUGAACACAGGUUCACUUCCUUCUCCAUCCUCACCUUCUCCUUUCUCUUUCUGAGACACUCUCUGUCUCUGUAACUCUUAGCUCCGCUCCCUUUUCCCUGUUCAAUCACAAGCCUCCUGCUGCCCUAAUGUGACUGGACAGGGAAAAUCCUGCAACAAUCCUCUACUACUAUGUGGCUGGAGCCCUGGGUGCCUCCAUUUGUAGUUAAGAAAUAGUAUUCAUUUCAAUAUUACUACAUUGCUCUUUUUUUUUAAUUUUCAUUUAUUUAUUUACUUACAUCUUAAAUGCCGCCCUCACCUGGUCCCUCCUCACAGCAAUACUAACCCCAUUGCUCCUCCCCUCCCCUCUGAGACAUUGGGUCACCACUGGGUAUCCUCCCAUCCUCUCACUGUAAGUCUUUGCAGGAUUAGGCACAUCCUUUCCCACUGAGGACAGACAGGACAGCUCUGUAGGGGAAGGGAUGCCACAGUCAAGGUACAGCUUUAGGGAGAGCCUCUGCUGUAGCUGCUGGGAGGCCCACAUGGAGACUGAGCUGCACGUCUGCUACAUAUGUUUUUUGGUUGGUGGCUCAGACUCUGAGGAGCUUCUAGUGGUCCAAGAUCAUUGACUCUGUUGGUAGUCCUGGGUCGUUCCCAUCCCCUUCAGGGCCUUCAGUCCUUCUCCCAACACUCCCAUAAGAGUCCCAGACUUCCAACCAAUAUUUGACUGGGGGUAACUGCAUCUGUUUUUGUCAACCGCUGGUGAGAGCCUUUCAGAGGACAGUUAUGCUAGACUCCUGUCUGUAAACAUAAAAAAAUAUCAAUUAUAGUGUCAGGAGUUGGUGCUUGCCCAUGGGAUGGGUUUCAAGUUCAGCCAUUUAUUGAUUGGCCAUUCCCUCAGUCUCUGCUCCACCUUUGUCUUGCAAUUAAUUUAGACAGGACAAAUUUUGGGUUGAAAGUUUUGAGGGUGGGUUGAUGUAUCCAUUCCUCCAUUGGGGGUCCUGCCUGGCUGCAGGAGGUGCCCUCUUCAGGUUCCAUGUUCCCACUGUGUCUCCUCCCUGGUUUUAGUGAGAUUGCUUCAUGUUUCUCUCCAUUUAAUUUGAUGUUGGCUGUUGGUUUGCUGUAUAUUGGUUUUUAUAUGUUUAGGUAAGUGCCCUGAAUCACUGAUCUCUCCCAAGACUUCUAACAUAAAGGGGUGUAGGAUUGUGGAAGGUUUUUUUUUCUGCAUUCCAUAGGAUUAUGAUAUGAUUUUUUUCUUUCAAUUGGUUUAUAUAGUGGGUUACAUUAGUGGAUUUGCUUAUAUGGAACCAUCCUUGCAUUCUUGGGGUGAGGCCUACUUGAUUGUGGUGAAUAAUGAUUUUGAUGUGUUCCUGGAUUCUGUCUGUGAUAAUUUUCUGGGUAUUUUUGUGUCAAUGUUUAUAAGUGAAAACAGUCUGAACUUCUCUUUCUGUGUUGAAUCUUUGUGUAGUUUAGGGAUCAGGAUAAUUGUGGCCUCAUCAAAUGAAUUAGAUAGUGUUCCUUCUGUUUUUAUUUUUGUGGAAUACUCUGAGGAGCAUUGGUAUUAGCUCUUCUUUGAAAGUCUGGUAGAAUUUUGCACUAAAAUCACCUUGCCCAGGGCUUUUUUGGUUGGGAUAUUUUUAAUGACUGCCUCUAUUUUCUUAGGGGUUAUAGGACUGUUUGGAUAGUUUUCCUGAUCUUGAUUUAACUUUGGUAAGUGGUAUCUGUCUAGAAAAUCAUCCAUUUUGUUUAGAUUUUCCAUUUUUGUGGCAUAUAGGCUUUUGAAGUAUGACCUAAUGAAUUUUUAAAAUUUCCUCUCUUUCUGUUUUUAUGUAUUCCUUUUCAUUUUGAUUUUGUUAAUUUGGAUACUGUCUUUCUGUUUUUCUUAAAAACCAGCUCCUGAUUUUCUUUCUUUCUUUCUUUCUUUCUUUCUUUCUUUCUUUCUUUCUUUCUUUCUUUCUUUCUUUCCUGACCAAGUUAUCCCUGAGUAGAGAGUUGUUCACUUUCAGUGAGUAUGUGGGAUUUCUGUUGUUAGGUUGUUUUCAGUGAGUAUGUGGGUUUUCUGUUGUUAGUUUGUUGUUGAGAUCCAGCCUUAAUUCCUGGUGAUCUGAUAAAAUGCAUGCGAUUAUUUCAAACUUUUUCUUACUGUUGAGGCUUGCUUUGUGCCCUAUUAUAUGUCAAAUUUUGGAGAAAGUUCCUGUGGUGCUAAGAAGAAAAUAUAGUUUUUUGGGGGGGUGGAGAGGGAAGGUCUAUAAAUAUUUGUUAAAUGCAUUUGGUUCAUAACCCAUUAGUUCCAUUGUUUCUCUUUUUAGUUUCUAUCCUUGAGAGUGGGAUGUGGAAGCCCCCUACCAUUAUUGUGUGGCGCUCAAUGUGUGAUCUGAGCUUUAGUAAUGUUUCUUUUGUGAGUCUAGGUUUCCUUGCUUUUGGGGCAUAGAUGUUAAGAACUGAGUGGCCACCAGAUUGUUAAUUUCAUGUGUGAAUGCUUUUUGGUAUGAAUCAAAGUUAUAGCAUUUCCAAAGAUGUUGGAUGUUUAAUUGGUGAGCAUUUCCAAUGAUGCUUGAUGUUUUAUUGGUGAAUGUUCCUGGGUAUGAAGUACAGUUUGAUGAUGUCCCACACAGCUUACGAAUGAAGGAGCUGCACAGCCUACAGACAGAUCUGAACCCUUUGGGUGUACAUGGUUGUGCCUGCCUCAUGUCUCCUUCCAAAUUUUUACCCAGAGCAUAGAUCCAACUAAGUCAUCUCUAUCCUUCCACUGCAAAUCUUCUAGAUCUGUACAUUAACAUCCCCUGAGCUUUAUAUGGCACAGAUUUCCCUUCAGACAAACUUCAAGGAUUCUUGAAGGCGAGUUCAAAACUUCACUUAUAGAAUUUUUCUGGUCUCUCAACUGUUCUCUAACUUUCUCAAAGAAAUGAGAGUAUAACAAUAUUCUAGGGUUGUGAUGGAGAAAUGGACUUCAGAAAUGGCAAUAUUUAGGGGAUGAAGAGAUGGCUCAGUGGUUAACAGAAGUUCUCAGCACUCACAUCAAGAGUCUAUAACUCCACCUCCUGACAAUCCAGUGCCUUCUGGCCUAUAUAGAGACCUACACUCAUGAUACAAUCCUUCCCCAUACAAACACAGAAAGAAAGAAAUGUAAAUCUUUAGAAAAUAGCAAUAUUUUAUAUAGUUCUGAAGAAAAUACCACUUUUGUUAUUGUAUUUUUUCUAAUGUAACUCUUGCUGAAUAUACAAAUCUUACUAAACUUGAAUAAUCUUUGAUAAAUUAUUGCAUAAGAAAAGCUGUAUCUGGGCUGGUAAGCUAGUUUGCUCAGUGGGUUAUGAGUGCUUGACAUGACACCUAACAACUUGAGUUCAAUCUUCUGAUUGCUUGACAUACAUGAGCUCACACUCAUACACCUACCAUAGAGCAAGCAAUCAUUUUUAUGUUUGACCUACUGUUAAUACCUGACUACACUUUUGUAAUGCAGUGUAUCUACACUGGCUUAGUUAGACAGGUUUCCUGGAAGUCUCACUGUAUGGACUGGGCUCUAGCUUGCAGAGCAGACUCAGUUAUGAUCUGUAAGUCAUCAUAGGCCAGGCAUGGGGAACAGCAACUCCCUGGAGAAUUGCUACUUGAAAUCUUUCGAAAAUAAAAUGUAUUAAAUUUUCUUGCUAGUUUAGUAACACUCCUGCCCCUACUUAAAGAGCCAUUUAAGUAAUAAAAGUCCUGGAAGGGAAGGAAACAGGAAGUGUUUCACAGUAUGCAUACAUUAGAUCUAGCUCUGAAAAGCAAAGUAUCAGGGCCACAUCAGGCAACGCCUUCCCUCAUCAUGAGUCCGGAGAAUCCUCUUCUCUCUGCCAGUUUGCUAGGAGUUGUUGAUGAUGAUUCUGAUUUUUCUUCCUCUUUUUCCUCUUCCUCUUUCUCUUCUCCUUCUCUUCCUUCUCCUUCUAUUUCUUCUUUUCUUCUAUUUCUCUUCUCUUCUAUUUCUUCUUUUCUUCUAUUUCUCUUCCUCCUCAUCUUCCUCUUCUUCUUUCUUCCUUCUCCCUCCUCCUUCUUUUAUUUUCCUUUUAGUUUCUUCCUAAAUUACAUAUUGGCUUCUCCAGAAAAUACACGUUUAAACAAGCCAUGCACCCAUCUCAUUUCAUUUAAUUUUCUGGUCUCUCAGUCUCAUCACCUUGACUAGGACUAGGAAGUGAGGCAGCAGGAAAUUGUAUAAAACAAUGUGUAACAUAUUGGCUAGCUAUGGCUCAAAAUCCUAAAAUCCACUAUCAAUUUUUUUUUUUUUUUUUUUUUUUGGUGGUGGUGGUGAUGGGGAAAUCCCUAUCUAGAAAGAUCUGACCUACUUUCCUUGCUACUUUGGUUCCUGUAGCUCUGCUUUUGAAUGAAGGGCUUAUUUGUAGGUGCUGCAUGUUGUUAGCAGGAAUUCAGACAUAAGCAAUCAAGGCAUACAGGCCACCACUAAGUAACAGAAAACAGCAAACAAUCAAUAAAUCUUCCUUGUUUUUGCUUUCAACUAUGAGUAGUUCUCAAAAAAUAAAUAAAUAAAAAGAAUUUCUUCUAAGAUCCUAGUGAGAACACAUGACAUCAACAUGGUCGCCAUCAUGGUGGGGCAUCUAAGCAUGACCCUCUCCUUUCAUGUUGUCACACUUUCUUGACUUCUGGAUGAUAUCUCUAUGACAAUUACUUUCAGAAAUAUCCUUAUCACUCUCAUAGCUUUUGGCAAAGAGCACAGUUCGAAGGCAGAGUUUUUAGACAUAAACAUUAUUUAAUCUACUCCCAUUUGACUGGCUACUAUAUCCAAGAUCAACAUUAAAUUUCAAACUCUCUAUAAGUAUAGCAAACAGUUCAAGAUUCAUCCACAUUCCUUCAACUGAAACUUCGGUCACCAAAAUCUCUCAUGAUUUUUUUGUGGAAAAAACACUCCUCUAUCAAUAUGGAGGUAGGGGUGAUUCUCUCUUGAAGAAUUUAGAGUCUUUAGGGUCAAUGAGAUCUUGGUGUGAAAAUCUACUCUACUCUGUGAUACUGUGGGAUGAGAAUUUCUGAUGGAGUUCUUCAAAGGAUGGUAGGGAAAAAAAUUAACAGGUGAGCAGUAAUAUUCAUGUUGAAUUUUAUUCAAAUAUGGGGGAGGAAAAAAAUCAUGUGUAAAUGAAAGGAUUAUCAGGCAGUUUAAAACGUGAGCCAAGCGUAGUCCAUAUAGUGUUGUAUACUGAGGACAUAAGAAAGUUACUGGCCAGAAUAAGAGAAAGCAGACAAUCAUUUCAGGGCACUCUUUACCAUAAGGAUACAGAGAAAAUCAUUUUAAGUUAACUCAUGUAAUAUCUAUAAUGAUGUUUCAUCUAAAGAAUUUGCUAGAAAAGUCACACCCCUUGUUAAGAAUGUAAAUCAGGACAAUAGCCAUAAAUGUGUGCAGGGGAAGUCUUGUGGGUGUCAUCGUUCCCCUUAUAAUAUUAUUAGCAUGAAGCAGAACUGUAACUGUGGUUUCUGGGAAAUCAACUCACAGGAAAAUUAAGGAGGCUAAUGUUGAAUCUAGAUGUCAGCUACUUGUGAAGGAUUCUAAAAAUGACGCUUGAGUAUAAGGAUUACACAAAAGAGUGAUGGUUGAUUUUCCGGGUCAAGUCUAGCGUAAGUCUCAUGGAGCCACAUUUUUUUUUUCCUUAUUCUUAGAUAUCCCCAAAGAGCUUUGUGAAUUCACAGUUAACUAUAGGGUAGUUUCAGCCUUGUUUUGAGGGCCCCAGGCUUCAUUUCCUACAACAUGUGCUCUGAGGGCAAAGGGUGCUUACUUGUUUUGCUCACCACCAUAGCUAAUGCCAAGAACAAAAACUAGCACAAAUGUUCAGAAACUGUUUGUAAAAUGAAUAGAUUUAUCUUUUAUUUCUCCAGAUGGCCCAGGUCUGUACUUGAUGUAUAACCUUUCCUUGGUAAACAUUUGUUGGGACAAACACCCAAUAAAGAGUUGUUUGGCUCAAAAAACACGGAGUGCUGUACUUUAUAAAUUUGAUUAUAGGUCGUGAAGCAAACCUUUUCUAAAGUAGAUCGCUGACCUUUUAAAAUUAUAUAAUAAAGACACCUAUGCUUAUGCAGGGCCCCUUUUUUCUUCCCUAAUGAACUCUGUACCUUAUCUGUUGCCAGCCCCAACUUAUAAAUUUUAAGCUGAAAAAAAAUCCUUCCAAAAUGAAAUCCAUUUGUCUUAGAAGUGGGGAUACGAACAUUCAAAGAGUCACAAUGCAUUGAAAGUCUGUUUCUGUGCUUUUCAAGUCAGCCAGUGGUCUCCAGAGCAUUUAUUUUUCGGGUGCAGACAGUGGAAACCACAGACGUAAACAUGGCCUGGAAUAGGAGGAUCUGAACACAUUGUAGAGUGUUGUUUACAAUGUGCAUGAAACAGAAUGCCAUGCUUUUCUUGUCUCCAAAGAUAUGAACAAUUUGUGCUUAGAGGCUGUAUGCAUUAUUUUAUAACCAAGUGAAUCAAUGCAAUGCAGAGAUGGAUAAAAAUAUCUGUUGGCCCACACACAUGAAAUAAAAAUCCAAAAUGUCAAAAUAUGAUGAAUUCUAUGGGUGCUAUUGCUAGUAUUACUUUGGGAAGAUACUCAUCACUGAUUUUUCUCAUUUACUCUACACAUACUGGUUGUGUACUUUUUAAUUAUUUGUAUUCUGUCCCAUAUUUUCAAGUUCCUUGGAAAGAGCUAAGUUACAUGCAUCUUAAAUUAUAGCAAACACAAUAGUAUAGCAACAUUCAUGCAUGACUAAGGAGGAAUUUGUGCUUUAGUAUUGUAUUUGUAAUUGAUACAUUUAUAAAUAUACGGAUUUUUCUUAAGUGUAACCUAUCAAAAAAUUGAAAUGUGAUAAAAAUUUCAUUCUUUUAAAGUUUUAUUUUUAUUGUAGUCCAGGCUAGCCUGGAACAGCAAUCCAGGCUGACUUUGAAUUCAUGGAAAACUUGCCAGCAGCUUUGGCCUUCCAAGUCAUGAGUAUAUAAGCACAACCCAUACAUGGAUAAAAUGUAGGAAAAUUCUCUCUCUCUCUCUCUCUCUCUCUCUCUCUCUCUUUCUCUCUCUCUCUCCUCACAUGUACUUGUAAGUCUGUUUAUAACUUUUCCCAUUAGCUUUGGUAAUAAAAGUAAAUCUGAUAUUUAAAAGUCACACAAAACCAAAGGUGAUGAUAUAGGUAGUUAAGAGCUGAGUGUUGAAAACUGAACCUACAGUUAGUAAUCAAACACUCAACUUAUGAGCAGAGAAGAAAGUAUAACCCAAGAAGCCAAAUAAUACGUGGGUAGAAUAAAGGAAGACCACACUGCACAAAUGAUGUCCCAAAAGCCAUGAGGAAAAAGAUA